rnacentral:lncRNA from 1 species
UUGAAGCACCACUAGGUGAUGCACCUGUUUUCCCAGCAACUCAAGACGUUCUGAACGCUUGGCAGUCGCGUAGUGAUGAUUACUCCCUGGUUCAGUGCGGCAUGCUUUACAGCUUAGAACCGGGGCUCCAAAAACGUUUUGAGCAGCACGGAGCAUAUGAGAUGUUACAAGAGCUGAAAAUGGUUUUCCAAGCUCAUGCCCGGGUCGAGAGAUAUGAAGUCUCCGACAAGUUCUACAGUUGUAAGAUGGAGGAGAAUAGUUCCGUCAGCGAACACAUACUCAAAAUGUCUGGGUUGCACAACCGCUUGUCUCAGCUGGGAGGUCAUCUCCCGGAUGACGCGGUCGUUGACAGAAUCCUUCAGUCGCUCCCACCUAGCUACAAGAGCUUCGUGAUGAACUUCAAUAUGCAGGGGAUGGAAAAGACCAUUCCUGAGGUAUAUUCAAUGCUGAAAUCAGCAGAGGUGGAGAUCAAAAGGGAACAUCAAGUGUUGAUGGUGAAUAAAACCACUAAGUUCAAGAAAGGCAAGGGUAAGAAGAACUUCAAGAAAGACGGCAAGGGAGUUGCCGCGCCCGGUAAGCAAGCUGCCGGGAAGAAGACAAAGAAUGGACCUAAGCCUGAGACUGAGUGCUUAUAUUGCAAGGGAAACGGUCACUGGAAGCGGAACUGCCCCAAGUACUUAGCGGAUAAGAAGGCCGGCAAUACCAAAGGUAUAUGUGAUAUACAUGUUAUUGAUGUGUACCUAACCAGCGCUCAUAGUAGCUCCUGGGUAUUUGAUACCGGUGCGGUUGCUCAUAUUUGUAACUCAAAGCAGGAGCUGCGAAAUAAGCGGAGACUGACGAAGGACGAGAUGACGAUGCGCGUCGGGAAUGGUUCCAAGGUCGAUGUGAUCGACGUCGGCACGCUACCUCUACAUUUACCUACGGGAUUAGUUUUAAACCUCAAUAAUUGUUAUUUAGUGCCAGCUUUGAGCAUGAACAUUGUAUCUGGAUCUCGUUUAAUGCGAGAUGGCUACUCAUUUAAAUCCGAGAAUAAUGGUUGUUCUAUUUAUAUGAGAGAUAUGUUUUAUGGUCAUGCCCCGCUGGUCAAUGGUUUAUUCUUAAUGAAUCUCAAACGUGAUGUUACACAUAUUCAUAGUGUGAAUGCCAAGAAAUGUAAGGUUGAUAAUGAUAGUCCCACAUACUUGUGGCACUGCCGCCUUGGUCACAUUGGUGUCAAACGCAUGAAGAAACUCCAUGCAUAUGGACUUUUGGAGUCUCUUGAUUAUGAAUCAUUUGACACGUGCGAACCAUGCCUCAUGGGCAAAAUGACCAAGACUCCGUUCUCCAGAACAAUGGAGCGAGCAACCAACUUAUUGGAAAUCAUACAUACUGAUGUGUGCGGUCCAAUGAGCGUUGAGGCUCGCGGUGGCUAUCGUUAUGUUCUCACCCUCACUGAUGACUUGAGUAGAUAUGGGUAUGUCUACUUAAUGAAACACAAGUCUGAGACCUUUGAAAAGUUCAAGGAAUUUUAGAGUGAGGUUGAGAAUCAACGUGACAGGAAAAUAAAGUUCUUACGAUCAGAUCGUGGAGGGGAAUAUUUGAGUCACGAAUUUGGCACACACUUAAGGAAAUGUGGAAUUGUUUCACAACUCACGCCGCCUGGAACACCUCAGCGUAAUGGUGUGUCCGAACGUCGUAAUCGCACUCUAUUGGAUAUGGUGCGAUCUAUGAUGUCUCUUACCGAUGUACCGCUAUCAUUAUGGGGUUAUGAUUUAUAGACUGCCGCAUUCACUUUAAAUAGGGCUCCGUCGAAAUCCGUUGAGACGACACCGUAUGAAUUAUGGUUUGGAAAGAAACCUAAGCUGUCGUUUCUUAAAGUUUGGGGAUGCGAUGCUUAUGUCAAGAAACUUCAACCUGAAAAGCUCGAACCCAAGUCGGAAAAAUGCGUCUUCAUAGGAUACCCUAAGGAAACCAUUGGGCAUACCUUCUACCUCAGAUCCGAAGGCAAGAUCUUCGUUGCCAAGAACGGGUCCUUUCUGGAGAAAGAGUUUCUCUCAAAAGAAGUAAGUGGGAGGAAAGUGGAACUUGAUGAGAUGACCCCUCUCGAACCAGAAAGUAGCACAACACAAGAAAAUGUUUCUGUGGUGCCUACACCGACUACAGAGGAAGUUAAUGAUGACGAUCAUGAUCAAGUUACCACUGAACUUCGUAGGUCCACAAGGACACGUUCCGCACCAGAGUGGUACGGCAACCCUGUUCUGGAAAUCAUGUUGUUGGACAACGGUGAACCUUCGAACUAUGAAGAAGCAAUGGCGGGUCCAGGUUCCAACAAAUGGCUUGAAGCCAUGCAGUCCGAGAUAGGAUCCAUGUAUGAAAACAAAGUAUGGACUUUGACAGACUUGCCCGAUGAUCGGCGAGCGAUAGAAAAUAAAUGGAUCUUUAAGAAGAAGACGGACGCAGAUGGAAAUGUUACCAUCUAUAAAGCUCGACUUGUCGCUAAGGGUUAUCGACAAGUUCAAGGAGUUGACUACGAUGAGACCUUCUCACCCGUAGCGAAGCUGAAGUCCCUCAGAAUCAUGUUAGCAAUUGCCGCAUUCUACGAUUAUGAGAUAUGGCGUAUGGACGUCAAAACGGCAUUCCUUAACGGUUUUCUUAAGGAAGAAUUGUAUAUGAUGCAGACGGAAGGUUUUAUCGAUCCUAAGAAUGCUAACAAAGUAUGCAAGCUCCAGCGCUCAAUCUAUGGGCUGGUGCAGGCAUCUCGGAGUUGGAACAUUCGCUUUGAUGAGAUGAUCAAAGCGUUUGGGUUUACGCAGACUUAUGGAGAAGACUGUGUUUACAAGAAAGUGAGUGGGAGCUCUGUAGCAUUUCUCUUAUUAUAUGUGGAUGACAUACUAUUGAUGGGAAAUGAUAUAGAAUUCUUGGAAAGUAUAAAGGCCUACUUGAAUAAGUGUUUUUCAAUGAAGGACCUUGGAGAAGCUGCUUACAUAUUAGGCAUCAAGAUCUGUAGAGAUAGAUCGAGACGCCUCAUAGGUCUUUCGCAAAGCACAUACCUUGACAAGAUAUUGAAGAAGUUCAACACGGAUCAGUCCAAGAAGGGGUCCUUGCCUGUAUUGCAAGUGUUGGGGAACGUAGCAGAAAUUCAAAAUUUUCUACGCAUCACCAAGAUCAAUCUAUGGAGUACUCUAGCAACGAGGGGAAGGGGAGUGGAUCUACAUACCCUUGUAGAUCGUGAUGCGGAAGCGUUGCAAGAACGCGGAUGAAGGAGUCGUACUCGUAGCGAUUCAGAUCGCGGUUGAUUCCGAUCUAAGCACCGAAGAACGGUGCCUCCGCGUUCAACACACGUGCAGCCCGGUGACGUCUCCCACGCCUUGAUCCAGCAAGGUGAGAGGGAGAGGUUGGGGAAGACUCCAUCCAGCAGCAGCACGACGGCAUGGUGGUGAUGGAGGAGCGUGGCAAUCCCGCAGGGCUUCGCCAAGCACCGCGGGAGAGGAGGAGGAGGGAGAGGGGUAGGGCUGCGCCGAGAGAGAGACGUUCUCGUGUCUUGGGCAGCCCCAAACCUCAACUAUAUAUAGGGGGGGAGGGGGCUGCGCCCCCUCUAGGGUUUCCACCCCAAGGGCUGGCGGCCAGCCCUAGUUCCCAAGGGGGGCGGCCAAGGGGAGGAGAGGGGGGGCGCCCCACUAGAUGGGCCCUAAGGCCCAUCUGGACCUAGGGUUUGCCCCCUCCCACUCUCCCAUGCGCCUUGGGCCUUGGUGGGGGGGGGGAGGGGCGCACCAGCCCACCUGGGGCUGGUCCCCUCCCACACUUGGCCCACGCAGCCUUCUGGGGCUGGUGGCCCCACUUGGUGGACCCUCGGGACCCUCCCGGUGGUCCCGAUACAUUACCGAUAACACCCGAAACUUUUCCGGUGACCAAAACAGGACUUCCCAUAUAUAAAUCUUUACCUCCGGACCAUUCCGGAACUCCUCGUGACGUCCGGGAUCUCAUCCGGGACUCCGAACAACAUUCGGUAACCACGUAUAUCUAUUCCCUAUAACCCUAGCGUCAUCGAACCUUAAGUGUGUAGACCCUACGGGUUCGGGAACCAUGCAGACAUGACCGAGACGUUCUCCGGUCAAUAACCAACAGCAGAAUCUGUAUACCCAUGUUGGCUCCCACAUGUUCCACGAUGAUCUCAUCGGAUGAACCACGAUGUCGGGGAUUCAAUCAAUCCCGUAUACAAUUCCCUUUGUCUAUCGAUAUGUUACUUGCCCGAGAUUCGAUCGUCGGUAUCCCUAUACCUUGUUCAAUCUCGUUACCGGCAAGUCUCUUUACUCGUUCCGUAACUCACAUCAUCCCGUGAUCAACUCCUUGGUCACAUUGUGCACAUUAUGAUGAUGUCCUACUGAGUGGGCCCAGAGAUACCUCUCCGUUUACACGGAGUGACAAAUCCCAGUCUCGAUUCGUGCCAACCCAACAGACACUUUCGGAGAUACCUGUAGUGCACCUUUAUAGCCACCCAGUUACGUUGUGACGUUUGGUACACCCAAAGCAUUCCUACGGUAUCCGGGAGUUGCACAAUCUCAUGGUCUAAGGAAAUGAUACUUGACAUUAGAAAAGCUCUGAGCAAACGAACUACACGAUCUUGUGCUAGGCUUAGGAUUGGGUCUUGUCCAUCACAUCAUUCUCCUAAUGAUGUGAUCCCGUUAUCAACGACAUCCAAUGUCCAUGGUCAGGAAACCGUAACCAUCUAUUGAUCAACGAGCUAGUCAACUAGAGGCUUACUAGGGACAUGGUGUUGUCUAUGUAUCCACACAUGUAUCUGAGUUUCCUAUCAAUACAAUUCUAGCAUUGAUAAUAAACGAUUAUCAUGAACAAGGAAAUAUAAUAAUAACCUAUUUAUUAUUGCCUCUAGGGCAUAUUUCCAACAUUCUCCCACUUGCACUAGAGUCAAUAAUCUAGUUCACAUCGCAUGUGAUUAACACUCAUAGGUCACAUCACCAUGUGACCAACAUCAAAGAGUUCACUAGAGUCAACAAUUUAGUUCACAUCACUAUGUGAUUAACACUCAAUGUGUUCUGGUUUGAUCAUGUUAUGCUUGUGAGAGAGGUUAUUAGUCAACGGGUCUGAACCUUUCAGAUCCGUGUGUGCUUUACGAAUAUCUAUGUCAUCUUGUGGAUGCUACCACGCCCUAUUUGGAGCCAUUUCAAAUAAUUGCUCUACUAUACGAAUCCGGUUUACUACUCAUAGUCAUCCGGAUUAGUGUCAAAGUUCACAUCGACGUAACUCUUUACGACGAACUCCUUUUCACCUCCAUAAUCGAGAAAAUUCCUUAGUCCACUAGAUACUAAGGAUAAGUUCGACCGCUGUCAUGUGAUCCAUUCCCGGAUCACUAUUGUACCCCUUGACCAACUCAUGGCAAGGCACACUUCAUGUGCGGCACACAGCAUAGCAUACUGUAGAGCCUACGUCUAAAGCAUAGGGGACGACCUUCGUCCUUUCUCUCUCUUCUGCUGUGGUCAGGUCUUGAGUCUUACUCAAUACUCACACCUUGUAACUCAGCCAAGAACUCCUUCUUUGCUGAUCUAUUUUGAACUCUUUCAAAAUCAUUUCAAGGUGUGCGUUCUUUGAAAGUAUCAUCAGGCGUCUUGAUCUAUCUCUAUAGAUCUUGAUGCCCAAUAUGUAAGCAGCUUUAUCCAGGUCUUCCUUUGAAAAACUCCUUUCAAACAACCCUUUAUGCUCUCCAGAAAUUUUACAUCAUUUCGGAUCAACAAUAUGUCAUUCACAUAUACUUAUCAGAAAUGUUGUGGCGCUCCCACUCACUUUAUUGUAAAUACAAGUUUCUAACAAACUUUGUAUAAACCCAAAAACUUUGAUCACUCCAUCAAAGCGUAUAUUCUGACUCCGAGAUGCUUGCUCUAAUCCAUGGAAGGAUCGCUGGAGCUAGCAUACCUUUUAGCAUCCUUAGGAUCGACAAAAACCUUUCUGAUUGUAUCACAUACAACCUUUCCUUACGAAAACUGGUAAGGAAACUUGUUUUGACAUCCAUCUGCCAGAUUUCAUAAAUGCAGCUAAUGCUAACAUGAUUCCGACGGACUUAAGCAUCGCUACGGAUGAGAAAAUCUCAUCGUAGUCAACUCCUUGAACUUGUGGAAAUACUCUUUGCCACAAAUCGAGCUUCAUAGACAGUAACAUCACCGUCCACGUCCGUCUUCUUCUCAAAGAUCCAUUUAUCUCGGAUUUCAUGGCUUCUAACCAUUUGUCGGAAUAUGGGCCGACCAUCGCUUCUCCAUAGCUCGUAGGUUCAUUGUUGUCUAACAACAUGACUUUCAAGACAGGAUCACGUACCACUCUGAAGUAGCACGCAUCCUCGUCGUCCUACGAGGUUUAGUAGUGACUUGAUCCGAAGUUUCAUGAUCACUAUCAUAAGCUUCCACUUCAAUUGGUGUAGGUGCCACAGGAACAACUUCAUGUGCCCUGCUACACACUAGUUGUAGUGACGGUUCAAUAACCUUAUCAAGUCUCCACCAUCCUCCCACUCAAUUCUUUCGAGAGAAACUUUUCCUCGAGAAAGGACCUAUUUCUAGAAGCAAUUACUUUUGCUUCCAGAUCUGAAAUAGGAGGUAUACCCAAUUGUUUUUGGGUAUUCUAUGAAGACGCAUUUAUCCGCUUUGGGUUCGAGCUUAUCAGCCUGAAACUUUUUCACAUAAGCAUCGCAGCCCCAAACUUUUAAGAAACGACAACUUAGGUUUCUCUAAACGAUGUUGUCUCAACGGAAUUGCGUGGUGCCCCCUUUUAAAGUGAAUGCGGUUGUCUCUAAUGCCUAGCCCAUAAACGAUAGUGGUAAUUCGAUAAGAGACAUCAUGGUAUGCACCAUAUCCAAUAGGGUGCAGUUAUGAUGUUCGGACACACCAUCACACUAUGGUGUUCCAGGCGGUAUUAAUUGUGGAACACUUUCCACAAUGUCUUAAUUGUGUGCCAAACUCGUAACUCAGAUACUCAUCUCUAUGAUCAUAUCACAGACAUCUUAUCCUCUUGUCACGACGAUCUUCAACUUCACUCUGAAAUUACUUAACCUUUCAAUAAUUCAGACUUGUGUUUCAUCAAGUAAAUACACUAUGCAUCUACUCAAAUCAUCUGUGAAGUAAGAACAUAACGAUAUCCACUGCAUGCCUCAGCACUCAUUGGACUGCAUACAUCAAAAUGUAUUACUUCCAAUAAGUUGCUCUCUUGUUCCAUCUUACUGAAAACGAGGCCUUUCAGUCAUCUUGCCCAUGUGGUAUGAUUUGCAUGUCUCAGGUGAUUCAAAAUCAAGUGAGUCCAAACGAUCCAUCUACAUGGAGUUUCUUCAUGCAUAUAUACCAAUACACAUGGUUCGCAUGUCUCAAUCUUUUCAAAAACGACUGAGUCCAAAAAUCCAUCUACAUGGAGCUUCUUCAUGUGUUCUAUACCAAUAUGACUCAAACGGCAGUGCCACAAGUAUGUGGUACUAUCAUUACUAUUUUAUAUCUUUUGGCACGAACAUGUGUAUCACUGCGAUCGAGAUUCAUUUUAUGUGCAAGACCAUUGAAGGUAUUAUUCAAAUAAACAGAGUAACCAUUAUUCUCCUUAAAUGAAUAACCGUAUUGCGAUAAACAUAAUCCAAUCAUGCUCAACGCAAACACCAAAUCUCGAUGGUAGAGGGAGCAUGCGAUGCUUGAUCACAUCAACCUUGGAAACACUUCCAACACAUAUCGUCAUCUCACCUUUAGCUAGUCUCCGUUUAUUCCGCAGCUUUUAUUUCGAGUUACUAACACUUAGCAACCGAACCGGCAUCUAAUUCCCUGGUGCUGCUAGGAGUACUAGUAAAGUACACAUUCAUAUAAUGUAUAUCCAAUAUACUUAUGUCGACCUUGCCUGCCUUCUCAUCUACCAAGUAUCUAGGGUAGUCCUGCUUCAGUGACCGUUCCCCUCAUUACAGAAGCACUUAGUCUCGGGUUUGGGUUCAACCUUGGGAUUCAUCACUGGAGCAGCAAACGACUUGCUGUUUCAUGAAGUAUCCCUUUUGCCCUUGCCCUUCUUAAACUAGUGGUUUUACUAACCAUCAACAAUUGAUGCUCCUUCUUGAUUUCUACUCUCGCAGUGUCAAACAUCGCGAAUAACUCAAGGAUCAUCAUAACUAUCCCUGAUAUGUUAUAGUUCAUCACGAAGCUCUACUAGCUUGGUGGCAGUGACUAUGGAGAACUAUCACUAUCUCAUCUGGGAGAUUAACUCCCACUCGAUUCAAGCGAUUGUGGUACUCAGACAAUCUGAGCACAUGCUCAACGAUUGAGCUUUUCUCCCUUAGUUUGCAGGCUUAAGAAACUUGUCAGAGGUCUCAUACCUCUUGACGUGGGCCCUAGUCUGAAAUCCCAAUUUCAGUCUUCGGAACAUCUCAUAUGUUCUGCGACGUUUCACAAACGUCUUUGGUGCCACAAUUCUAAACCAUUAGAACUAUCACGUAGUCAUCAAAACGUGUAUGUCAGAUGUUUCGCAACAUCUACAGACGACGCUGAGGUUCAGCACACCGAGUGGUGCAUUAAGGACAUAAGCCUUCUGUGCAGCAGUGAGGACAAUCCUCAGUUCACGGACCCAGUCCGCAUAAUUGCUACUACCAACUUUCAACUAAAUUUUCUCUAGGAACAUAUCUUAAACAGUAGAACUAAAGCGCAAGCUAUGACAUAAUUUGCAAAGACCUUUUGAGUAUGUUCAUAAUAAUGAAGUUCAUCUGAUUAUAGAACUCCCACUCAGAUAGACAUCCCUCUAGUCAUCUAAGUGAUACAUGAUCCGAGUCAAACUAGGCCGUGUCCGAUCAUCACGUGAGACGGACUAGUCAUCAUCGGUGAACAUCUCCAUGUUGAUCGCAUCUACUAUACGACUCAUGUUCGACCUUUCGAUCUCUUGUGUUCCGAGGCCAUGUCUGUACAUGCUAGGCUCGUCAGGUCAACCUAAGUGUUUUGCAUGUGUUCCGAGGCCAUGUCUGUACAUGCUAGGCUCGUCAACACCCGUUGUAUUCGAACGUUAGAAUCUAUCACACCCGAUCAUCACGUGGUGCUUCGAAACAACGAACCUUCGCAACGGUGCACAGUUAGGGGGAACACUUUCUUGAAAUUUUAGUGAGGGAUCAUCUUAGUUAUGCUACCUUCGUUCUAAGCAAAUAAGAUGCAUAACAUGAUAAACAUCACAUGCAAUCAAAUAGUGACAUGAUAUGGCCAAUAUCAUUUUGCUCCUUUGAUCUCCAUCUUCGGGGCACAACGAUCAUCUUUGUCACCGGCAUGACACCAUGAUCUCCAUCAUUGUGUCUUCAUGAAGUUGUCACGCCAACGAUUACUUCUACUUCUAUGGCUAACGCACUUAGCAAUAAAGUAAAGUAAUUUACAUGGCGUUAUUCAAUGACACGCAGGUCAUACAAAAAAUAAAGGCAACUCCUAUGGCUCCUGCCGGUUGUCAUAUUCAUCGACAUGCAAGUCGUGAUUCCUAUUACAAGAAUAUGAUCAAUCUCAUACAUCACAUAUAUCAUUCAUCACAUCUUUUGGCCAUAUCACAUCACAUAGCACAUGCUGCAAAAACAAGUUAGACGUCCUCUAAUUGUUGUUGCAGGUUUUUACGUGGCUUGUAUAGGUUUCUAGCAAGAACGUUUCUUACCUACGUAAAACCACAACGUGAUAUGCCAAUUUCUAUUUACCCUUCAUAAGGACCCUUUUCCUCGAAUCCGUUCCAACUAAAGUGGGAGAGACAGACACCCGCUAGCCACCUUAUGCAACUAAUGCAUGUCAGUCGGUGGAACCUGUCCCACGUAAGCGUACGUGUAAGGUCGGUCCGGGCCGCUUCAUCCCACAAUGCCGCCGAAACAAGAUAAGACUAGUAGCGGCAAGAAGAAUUGGCAACAUCUACGCCCACAACUACUUUGUGUUCUACUCGUGCAUAGAAACUACGCAUAGACCUAGCUCAUGAUGCCACUGUUGGGGAACGUAGCAGAAAUUCAAAAUUUUCUACGCAUCACCAAGAUCAAUCUAUGGAGUACUCUAGCAAUGAGGGGAAGGGGAGUGGAUCUACAUACCCUUGUAGAUCGCGAUGCGGAAGCGUUGCAAGAACGCGGAUGAAGGAGUCGUACUCGUAGCGAUUCAGAUCACGGUUGAUUCCGAUCUAAGCACCGAAGAACGGUGCCUCCGCGUUCAACACACGUGCAGCCCAGUGACGUCUCCCACGCCUUGAUCCAGCAAGGUGAGAGGGAGAGGUUGGGGAAGACUGCAUCCAGCAGCAGCACGACGGCAUGGUGGUGAUGGAGGAGCGUGGCAAUCCCGCAGGGCUUCGCCAAGCACCGCGGGAGAGGAGGAGGAGGGAGAGGGGUAGGGCUGCGCCGAAAGAGAGACGUUCUCGUGUCUUGGGCAGCCCCUAACCUCAACUAUAUAUAGGGGGGGAGGGGGCUGCGCCCCCUCUAGGGUUUCCACCCCAAGGGCUGGCGGCCAGCCCUAGAUCCCAUCAAGGGGGGCGGCCAAGGGGAGGAGAGGGGGGGCGCCCCACUAGAUGGGCCCUAAGGCCCAUCUGGACCUAGGGUUUGCCCCCUCCCACUCUCCCAUGCGCCUUGGGCCUUGGUGGGGGGGGGGCGCACCAGCCCACCUGGGGCUGGUCCCCUCCCACACUUGGCCCACGCAGCCUUCUGGGGCUGGUGGCCCCACUUGGUGGACCCCCGGGACCCUCCCGGUGGUCCCGGUACAUUAGCGAUAACACCCGAAACUUUUCCGGUGACCAAAACAGGACUUCCCAUAUAUAAAUCUUUACCUCCGGACCAUUCCGGAACUCCUCGUGACGUCCGGGAUCUCAUCCGGGACUCCGAACAACAUUCGGUAACCACGUAUAUCUAUUCCCUAUAACCGUAGCGUCAUCGAACCUUAAGUGUGUAGACCCUACGGGUUCGGGAACCAUGCAGACAUGACCGAGACGUUCUCCGGUCAAUAACCAACAGCGGGAUCUGGAUACCCAUGUUGGAUCCCACAUGUUCCACGAUGAUCUCAUCGGAUGAACCACGAUGUCGGGGAUUCAAUCAAUCCCGUAUACAAUUCCCUUUGUCUAUCGAUAUGUUACUUGCCCGAGAUUCGAUCGUCGGUAUCCCUAUACCUUGUUCAAUCUCGUUACCGGCAAGUCUCUUUACUCGUUCCGUAACUCACAUCAUCCCGUGAUCAACUCCUUGGUCACAUUGUGCACAUUAUGAUGAUGUCCUACUGAGUGGGCCCAGAGAUACCUCUCCAUUUACACGGAGUGACAAAUCCCAGUCUCGAUUCGUGCCAACCCAACAGACACUUUCGGAGAUACCUGUAGUGCACCUUUAUAGCCACCCAGUUACGUUGUGAUGUUUGGUACACCCAAAGCAUUCCUACGGUAUCCGGGAGUUGCACAAUCUCAUGGUCUAAGGAAAUGAUACUUGACAUUAGAAAAGCUCUGAGCAAACGAACUACACGAUCUUGUGCUAGGCUUAGGAUUGGGUCUUGUCCAUCACAUCAUUCUCCUAAUGAUGUGAUCCCGUUAUCAACGACAUCCAAUGUCCAUGGUCAGGAAACCGUAACCAUCUAUUGAUCAACGAGCUAGUCAACUAGAGGCUUACUAGGGACAUGGUGUUGUCUAUGUAUCCACACAUGUAUCUGAGUUUCCUAUCAAUACAAUUCUAGCAUGGAUAAUAAACGAUUAUCAUGAACAAGGAAAUAUAAUAAUAACCUAUUUAUUAUUGCCUCUAGGGCAUAUUUCCAACAGCAAGGUGUUAGAUUGAGCACGGCUCAAUGCCCGACCACGGCAGAAGAUAGAGAAAAGAUGAGUGUCGUCCCCUAUGCCUCGGCCAUAGGGUCUAUUAUGUAUGCCAUGCUGUGUACCAGACCUGAUGUAAACCUUGCCGUAAGUUUGGUAGGAAGGUACCAAAGUAAUCCCGGCAUGGAACACUGGACAGCGGUCAAGAAUAUCCUGAAGUACCUGAAAAGGACUAAGGAUAUGUUUCUCGUUUAUGGAGGUGACGAAGAGCUCGUCGUAAAGGGUUAUGUCGAUGCUAGCUUCGACACAGAUCUGGAUGACUCUAAGUCACAAACCGGAUACGUGUAUAUUUUGAAUGGUGGGGCAGUCAGCUGGUGCAGUUGCAAGCAAAGCGUCGUGGCGGGAUCUACAUGUGAAGCGUAGUACAUGGCAGCCUCGGAGGCAGCACAUGACGCAAUCUGGAUGAAGGAGUUCAUUGCCGACCUAGGAGUUAUUCCCAAUGGAUCUGGGCCGAUGACUCUCUUCUGUGACAACACUGGAGCUAUUGCCCUUGCCAAGGAGCCCAGGUUUCACAAGAAGACCAGGCACAUCAAGCGUCGCUUCAACUCCAUUCGUGAAAAUGUUCAAAAUGGAGACAUAGAUAUUUGUAAAGUGCAUACGGAUUUGAAUGUCGUAGAUCCGUUGACUAAACCUCUUCCACGAGCGAAACAUGAUCAACACCAGAACUCUAUGGGUGUAUGAUUCAUCACAAUGUAACUAGAUUAUUGAAUCUAGUGCACGUGGGAGACUGUUGGAAAUAUGCCCUAGAGGCAAUAAUAAAAUGGUUAUUAUUAUAUUUCCUUGUUCAUGAUAAUUGUCUAUUGUUCAUGCUAUAAUUGUGUUAUCCGGAAAUCGUAAUACAUGUGUGAACACAUAGACCAUAACAUGUCCCCAGUGAGCCUCUAGUUAACUAGCUCGUUGAUCAAUAGAUGGUUACGGUUUCCUGACCAUGGACAUUGGAUGUCAUUGAUAACGGGAUCACAUCAUUAGGAGAAUGAUGUGAUGGACAAGACCCAAUCCUAAGCAUAGCACUAGAUCGUGUAGUUCGUUUGCUAAAGCUUUUCUAAUGUCAAGUUUCAUUUCCUUAGACCAUGAGAUCGUGCAACUCCCGAAUACCGUAGGAAUGCUUUGGGUGUGCCAAACGUCACAACGAAACUGGGUGGCCAUAAAGGUACACUACAGGUAUCUCCGAAAGUGUCUGUUGGGUUGGCACAGAUCGAGACUGGGAUUUGUCACUCCGUAUGACGGAGAGGUAUCUCUGGGCCCACUCGGUAAUGCAUCAUCAUAAUGAGCUCAAUGUGCCCAAGUGGCUGGUCACGUGAUCAUGCAUUACGGUACGAGUAAAGUGACUUGUCGAUAACGAGAUUGAACGAGGUAUUGGGAUACCGACGAUCGAAUCUCGGGCAAGUAACGUACCGAUUGACAAAGGGAAUUGUAUACGGGAUUACUUGAAUCCUCGACAUCGUGGUUCAUCCGAUGAGAUCAUCGAGGAGCAUGUGGGAGCCAACAUGGGUAUCCAGAUCCCGCUGUUGGUUAUUGACCGGAGAGUCGUCUCGGUCAUGUCUGCGUGUCUCCCGAACCCGUAGGGUCUACAAACUUAAGGUUCGGUGACGCUAGGGUUGUAGAGAUAUUAGUAUGCGGUAACCCGAAAGUUGUUCGGAGUCCCGGAUGAGAUCCCGGACAUCACGAGGAGUUCCGGAAUGGUCCGGAGGUAAAGAUUUGUAUAUAGGAAGUCCAGUUUCGGCCACCGGGAAAGUUUCGGGGGUCACCGGUAUUGUACCGGAACCACCGGAAGGGUCCCGGGGUCCAUCGGGUGGGGCCACCUAUCCCGGAGGGCCCCAUGGGCUGAAGUGGGAAGGGAACCAGCCGUUGGUGGGCUGGUGCGCCCCCCAUGGGCCUCCCCCUGCGCCUAGGGUUGGAAACCCUGGGGGUGGGGGGCGCCCCACCUACUUGGGGGGCAAGUCCCCCCUUUGGCCGCCGCCCCCCCUUGAGAUUAGAUCUCUAGGGGCCGGCGCCCCCCCAGGGCCCCUAUAUAAAGGGGGGGAGGGAGGGCUGCGCACCCCAAGCCCCUGGCGCCUCCCUCUCCCUCCCAUAACACCUCUCCCUCUCGCUGAGCUUGGCGAAGCCCUGCCGAGAUCCCCGCUGCUUCCACCACCACGCCGUCGUGCUGCUGGAUCUCCAUCAACCUCUCCUUCCCCUUGCUGGAUCAAGAAGGAGGAGACGUCUCUCCCAACCGUACGUGUGUUGAACGCGGAGGUGCCGUCCGUUCGGCGCUAGGAUCAUCGGUGAUUUUGAUCACCACGAGUACGACUCCAUCAACCCCGUUCUCUUGAACGCUUCCGCUCGCGAUCUACAAGGGUAUGUAGAUGCACUCCUCUCUCUCGUUGCUAGAUGACUCCAUAGAUUGAUCUUGGUGAUGCGUAGAAAAUUUUAAAUUUCUGCUACGAUCCCCAACAUUGGAUAGUAAGAAUAAUGACUUUGCUAUUAGAGUUGCAACUAGAGGGGGUAAAGUGACUCAGGAACCUUUGUAUCCUGAGGGCCACCCUAAGAGAAUUGAGCAGGAUUCUCAGAGAAAUAAUAUAGAUGCACCCAUUUCUUCUAAGAGGAAGAAAAAGAAAAAUGAUAGGACUUUGCAUGCUUCUAGUGAACCUGUUGCUGACACACUUGAGAAUCCCAAUGAUAUUUCUAUUUCUGAUGCUGAAACACAAUCUGGUAAUGAACAUGAACCUAGUGACAAUGCUAAUGAUGAUGUUCAUGUUGAUGCUCAACCUAGCAAUGACAAUGAUGUAGAAAUUGAACCUGCUGUUGAUCUUGAUAACCCACGAUCAAAGAAUCAACGUUAUGAUAAGAGAGACUUUGUUGCUAGGAAGCACGGUAAAGAAAGAGAGCCAUGGGUUCAGAAACCCAUGCCUUUUCCUCCCAAACCAUCCAAGAAAAAGGAUGAUGAGGAUUUUGAGCACUUUGCUGAAAUGAUUAGACCUAUCUUCUUGCGUAUGCGUUUGACUAAUAUGCUCAAAAUGAAUCCUUAUGCUAAGUAUAUGAAAGAUAUUGUUACAAAUAAAAGAAAGAUACCGGAAGCUGAAAUUUCCACCAUGCUUGCUAAUUAUACUUUUAAGGGUGGAAUACCAAAGAAACUUGGAGAUCCAGGAGUACCAACUAUACCGUGCUCCAUUAAAAGAAACUAUGUUAGAACUGCUUUAUGUGAUCUUGGAGCCGGUGUUAGUGUUAUGCCUCUCUUUAUAUCGUAGACUUGAUUUGAAUAAGUUGACACCUGUUGAAAUAUCUUUGCAAAUGGCUGAUAAAUCAACUGCUAUACCUGUUGGUAUUUGUGAGGAUGUGCCAGUUGUGGUUGCAAACGUUACUAUUUUAACGGACUUUGUUAUUCUUGAUAUUCCCGAGGACGAUAGUAUGUCUAUUAUUGUUGGAAGACCCUUUUUGAAUACUGCAGGGGCUGUUAUUGAUUGCAACAAAGGCAAUGUCACUUUUCAUGUUAAUGGUAAUGAGCAUAAGCUACACUUUCCGAGGAAACAACCUCAAGUCCACAGUACAAACUCUAUUGGAAAAAAUUCCAUCGAUUAUUUUUGGAGGUUUUGAAUUUCCUCUUCCUAUUGUCAAAAAGAGAUAUGAUAUUAUUAUUAUUGGGGACGUGCAUAUCCCCGUUGAGGUAACCUAGUGUUAUUUGAAAUUUCUCCGGUUUCAUGCAAUUCGGAAUGAGUUUGUUAACAAGACCUGAUCAACCUUGUCAGUGGAUUCCUUUUGAUGAGCAUGAGAUGGAUGAAGUUAGAAAGCACAACCUUCUGUACCUCCUUUUACUUUCUGUUAUUUAGUUGAAAUAAAGCAAAAAUAGUAUUUUCUGUCAGUUUUCUGAGUUAUCCGUGCAAUAAAAAAAUACCCCGAAAAUAAAAGUUCUCCAAAUGCCCCGAAAUUGAAAUAUGAUUUUCUCUGGAAUAUUUGAGAAUAUCUGGCACUGAGAACACGGCAGGGGGAGCAAGCACCUAGCCACGAGGGUCCAGGGUGCGCCCCCUGCCUCGUGGGCCCAUGGUGGCUCCCCUCCACUUAUUCCAACCACCACACACUCCUUCUUCCUCCCAAAAGAAUCACCAACCAGCUCAAGCAUGAGUUCUUGCUCAUCUUGCUGCCAUUUUCGAUCUCCUUGCUCAAAGCACCUCUCACAAAACUGCUUUGGGGGAUUGAUCUUUGGUGUGUGACUCCUCCAAUGGUCCAAUUAGUUUUUGUUCUAGUGCUUUAUUCAUUGCAUAUUUUUGCUGCUUAGGUGACCCUGUUCUUUAGCUUGCAUGUCAAAUUUAUAUGGUUCCAAGUAGUUCUAAUGCAUGAUAUAGUAUCUAGGCACUUGUAGGAGUAGUUGCUAUCAAUUUUGUUGAGUUUGGUUCACUUUUAUUUUGAGUUACUAAAAUUUUCAGAAAUUUUUCAGAGGAAGAAAUAUGUUUAGGAAAAUGUACCAAGGUGGUCCUUCAAGGAAACAAGGGCCCAGGCCCGCAAUACGCGAUGCGGACGACGAACCACCGAGGGAAGCUCAAGUGCGGGCUUGUGAAUGGCCUUCAGAGGACUUUAUGGAUCGAGCAGGAAUCAUGGAAGAAUUUAACGCAUAUGUGCAUAACGCUGAUCUUGUGAGCUUCGAGGCAGAUAAGUGCCGUCAGUACCACUAUCUCACUGAUUCCUUUGUGAGAAGGUUUGAAUUUUCAUCUUGACGCAAUUCUCAAACUGUCCUGAAAUUCUUAUACUAUGGAUUUAGAGGAUUUUAAUACUGCUUGCAAACUUCCACAAUGGGGUAGCACUAGUGAGCCUCGCAAAUCUGAGUUUAGAGAUUUUCUUGCUAGUAUAAUUGUGGGGGAAUCUAGAGAUAUAACACAAGCUACCAUAUGGAGCAUUCAUUUUCCUGCUAUACAUUAUUUCGCUCUCUUCAUAGGUAGGUGCAUCAAUGGUAAGGAUGAAGCAUGUCACAUGUGUGUCCCUGAUCUCAGUGUUCUCAAGAGUGCUGUGUUAGGAGAUAAACAUUAUAAUUUGGGAGCCAUUGUUGCACGUAGGUUGCAUAAUAAUAGAAUUAAUGGAGAUUUCUUUGGCAGAAUUUAUGCAACCCGUCUAGCUAAUUUUCUUGGAAUACCUAUUCGUGAUUAUGAUAUGGAAUUGCCUCCUUCUUAUCUAGAUUUUAGUGCCAUGGUUCACCAUCAGUUUGUUGAGAGGAAUGAACCGCCUCUCCAGUACCGACUAAUCUUUGACAGGCGUCAUGCCGUCAAUAUUAUCCUCCCUGCUCCUACUCUCUUUGACUUUCAGGCAAAGGGGAGAUAUGUCAUAACCAGGGAGGAGGCAAAUGAGUACGAGAGGAGGACGAGGGCAGCUCGCCUCCAAGUUGCAUCCCACGAAGCAAUAGCCGCUGCAUCUCAGUAUGACCCUAGUUACAACUUCGGAUAUCCGCCAGGCCAGCCGUGGUAGUAGACCAACUUAGGCCAAAAGCCUAAGCUUGGGGGAGUACGUAUUUGUCACCGACAUUAUAUUCAUGUUCACACACUCAUGCUAGUUGUCGGUGCUCAUACUUUCUCACUGUAAUAUCCAUGCUAGUUUAUUUUCCUUUUUAUGUUUUCUUCUUGUGUGUUUGAAAAACCUUAAGAAAAACCAAAAAAAAUUGUUGUAGCUUUUAGCUAGUUUAGUUUCUUGCUUGUAGUAGUAUUAAUUAAAAGAAAACACAAAAAGAUUUCCUGUUCUUAUUUUGCUUGUUGGGAGCUUUCCCGUGUAAAUAGUUUUAUUUAUUUUCUUCUCUUUUCUUUGGGGUCGUGGGGAGAAGACCAUUAUGAAAAUGUUGGAGUGGCUCUUGUAUACAUUAUUGUUGAUUUAACCAAGAGCCCAUAUUGCCUUGUCUUCUCCUGUUUAUUGAAUGCUUGCAGAUUCCAGCUUAGUCCAAUGCAUGUGCACUAUUAUUAUUAUACACAUCGUUCGGUCGUGCAACUGAAAGGCAAUUAUGACGAUAUAUGAUGGACUGAUUGAGAUGAGAAAAGCUGGUAUGAACUCGACCUCUCUUAUUUUUGUAAAUAUGAUUAGUUUAUCGUUCCUGAUUCAGCCUAUUAUGAAUAAACAUGUUUGCAAUGACAAUUAGAGAUUAUAGUUUCUUAUGCCAUGCUUAAUUAGCUAGGAGUUUAUAAUGGUUUACCUUGCGUGCCAACAUGCUAUUAAAAUGUUUGUUAUGUGGUAUGAUAGGGUGGUAUCCUCCUUUGAAUGAUUUAAGUGACUUGACUUGGCACAUGUUCACACAUGUAGUUGAAACAAAAUUCAACAUAGCCUUCACGAUAUUUAUGUUCAUGGUGUAUUAUAUCCUACUCAUGCUUGCACUCAAUGUUCAUUAAUUUUAAUGCAUGUUCAUGACUGUUGUCGCUCUCUAGUUGAUCGCUUCCCAGUCUUUUGCUAGCCUUCACUUGUACUAAGCGGGAAUAUUGCCUGUGCAUCCAUUUCCUUAAACCCCAAAGUUAUUCCAUAUGAGUCCACUAUACCUUCCUAUAUGCGGUAUCUACCUGCCGUUCCAAGUAAAUUUGUAUGUGCCAAACUCCAAACCUUCAAAUGAAAUUCUGUUUUGUAUGCUCGAAUAGCUCAUGUAUCAACUAGGGUUGUCUGUAUCUUACAUGCUAGGCGGGUUAUUCUCAAGAGGAGUGGACUCCGCUCCUCACUCACGAGAAAAUGGCUGGUCACCGGGAUGCCCAGUCCCAUGCUUUAUGCAAAUCAAAUCAAAAUAAUUGCAAACAAAACUUACCCAGGAUUGUUGUUAGUUGGAGGCACCCGUUGUUUCGGACAAGCCAUGGAUUGAUGUUUGUUGUGGAGGGGGAGUAUAAACUUUACCACUCUGUUUGGGAACCGCCUAUAAUGUGUGUAGCAUGGAAGAUAUCGCCAUCUCUCAGUUGUUAUGUUGACAAUGAAAGUAUGCCGCUCAAAAUAUUAUUUAUCUCUAUUUCAAAAUCAAGCUCUAGCACCUCUAAAAAUCCCUACUUCCCUCUGCGAAGGGCCUAUCCAUUUACUUUUAUGUUGAGUCAUCACCCUCUUAUUAAAAAGCACCAGCUGGAGAGCACCGCUGUCAUUUGCAUCCAUUACUAUUAGUUUAUAUCGGGUAUGAUUAUGACUGGAUCUCUUUUACCAUGAAUUACAAUGUCUAGUCAGUCCUUAAUCUUUAAAGGUGCUCUGCAUUUAUGUUUUGCAGUCUCAGAAAGGGCUAGCGAGAUACCAUCUUGUUAUAUCAUAUCAUGAUUGUUUUGAGAAAGUGUUGUCAUCCAAGAUUUAUUAUUAUUACUCGCUAGUUGAUUAUGUCAUUGACAUGAGUAAACAUGAGACCUAAGUGUUAUUGUGAAUAUGGUUAGUUCAUAAUCUUUGCUGAAAACUUGAAUGUUGGCUUUACAUAUUUACAACAACAAGAGCAAACAGAGUUUGUAAAAGUUUUUCUUUAUCACUUUCAGUUUAUCAACUGAAUUGCUUGAGGACAAGCAAAGGUUUAAGCUUGGGGGAGUUGAUACGUCUCCAACGUAUCUACUUUUCAAACAUUUUUGCCCUUGUUUUGGACUCUAACUUGCAUGAUUUGAAUGGAACUAACCCGGACUGACGUUGUUUUCAGCAGAAUUGCCAUGGUGUUAUCUUUGUGCAGAAACAAAAGUUCUCGGAAUGACCUGAAACUUCACGGAGAUUAUUUUUGGAAAUAAUAAAAAAUACUGGCGAAAGAAUCAAGGCCAGGAGGCCCACACCCUGUCCACAAGCGUGGGAGGCGCGCCUGCCCCCCUGGGCGCGCCCCCUGCCUCAUGGGCCCCUUGGUGCUCCACCGACCUCAACUCCAACUCUAUAUAUUCGUGUUCGGGGAGAAAAAAAUCAGAGAGAAGGAUUCAUCGCGUUUUACGAUACGGAGCCGCCGCCAAGCCCUAAUCUCUCUCGAGAGGGCUGAUCUGGAGUCCUUUCGGGGCUCCGGAGAGGGGAAUCCGUCGCCAUCGUCAUCAUCAACCAUCCUCCAUCACCAAUUUCAUGAUGCUCACCGCCGUGCGUGAGUAAUUUCAUCGUAGGCUUGCUGGACGGUGAUGGAUUGGAUGAGAUUUAUCAUGUAAUCGAGUUAGUUUUGUUAGGGUUUGAUCCCUAGUAUGCACUAUGUCCUGAGAUUGAUGUUGCUAUGACUUUGCUAUGCUUAAUGUUUUUCACUAGGGCCCAAGUGCCAUGAUUUCAGAUCUGAACCUAUUAUGUUUUCAUGAAUAUAUGUGAGUUCUUGAUCCUAUCUUGCAAAUCUAUAGUCACCUACUAUGUGUUAUGAUCCGGCAACCCCGAAGUGACAAUAAUCGGGACCACUCCCGGUGAUGACCAUAGUUUGAGGAGUUCAUGUAUUCACUAUGUGUUAAUGCUUUGGUCCGGUACUCUAUUAAAAGGAGGCCUUAAUAUCCCUUAGUUUCCAAUAGGACCCCGCUGCCACGGGAGGGUAGGACAAAAGAUGCCAUGCAAGUUCUUUUCCAUAAGCACGUAUGACUAUAUUCGGAAUACAUGCCUACAUUACAUUGAUGAAUUGGAGCUAAUUCUGUGUCACCCUAUGUUAUAACUGUUGCAUGAAUAAUCGCAUCCGGCGUAAUUCUCCAUCACCGAUCCAAUGCCUACGAGCUUUUCCCAUAUUGUUCUUCGCUUAGUUACUUUACCGUUGCCACUGUUACAAUCACUACAAUAUUGCUACUGUUACCUUUGCCACUGUUACCGUUACUUCCAUACUACUUUGCUACUAAACACUUUGCUGCAGAUAUUAAGUUAUCCAGGCAUGAUUGAAUUGACAACUCAGCUGCUAAUACUUGAGAAUAUUCUUUGGCUCCCCUUGUGUCGAAUCAAUAAAUUUGGGUUGAAUACUCUACCCUCGAAAACUGUUGCGAUCCCCUAUACUUGUGGGUUAUCACCCCCCGGGGAGUGUAUGGGCCUUAUUGGGCCUUAGUGGGAGAGAGGAGGAGGCGGCCUAGGAGUGGGCGCGCUCCCCCAAGCCCAAUCCGAAUUGGGAGGGGCCGGCCCCCCUUUCCUUCCUCCCUCUCUCCUCCUUCCUUCCUCUCCUACUCCUACUUGGAAGGGGGAAUCCUACUCCCGGUGGGAGUAGGACUCCCCUAGGGCGCUCCAUAGAGAGGGUCGGCCCUUCCCAUCCUCCACUCCUUUAUAUACGAGGGAGGGGGGCACCCCAUAGACACAAAAGUUGAUCAUUGUCUUAACCGUGUGUGGUGCCCCCCUCCACCAUAAUCCACCUCAGUCAUAUCGUCGUUGUGCUUAGGUGAAGCCCUGCGCCGGUAGCUUCAUCAUCACUGUCAUCACGCUGUCGUGCUGAUGAAGCUCUCCCUCGACACUCAGCUGGAUCGAGAGUUCGUGGGACGUCACCGAGCCGAACGUGUGCAAAUCGCGGAGGUGCCGUACUUUCCGUACUAGGAUCGGUCGGAUCGUGAAGACGUUCGACUACAUCAACCACGUUGUCAUAACGCUUCCUCUUACUGUCUACGAGGGUACGUGGACUACACUCUCCCCUCUCGUUGCUAUGCAUCACCAUGAUAGAUCUUGCAUGUGCAUAGGAAAAUUUUGAAUUUACUGCAUUCCCCAACAGUGGCAUCCGAGCCAGGUCUAUGCGUAGAUGUUAUAUGCACGAGUAGAACACAAAGAAUUGUGGGCGAUAAUAGUCAUACUGCUUACCAGGAUGUCAUACUUUGAUUCGGCGGUAUUGUUGGAUCAAGCAGCUCAGACCGACAUUACGCGUACGCUUACGCGAGACUGGUUCUACCGACGUGCUUCGCACACAGGUGGCUAGUGGGUGUCAGUUUCUCCAACUUUAGUUGAAUCGAGUGUGACUACGCCCGGUCCUUGUUGAAGGUUAAAACAACACAGUUGACGAAAAAUCGUUGUGGUUUUUGAUGUGUAGGUUAGAAUGGUUCUUGCUCAGCCCGUAGCAGCCACUUAAAACUUGCAACAACAAAGUAGAGGACGUCUAACUUGUAUUUGCAGGGCAUGUUGUGAUGUGAUAUGGUCAAGAUAUGAUGCUAAAUUAUAUUGUAUGAGAUGAUCAUGUUUUGUAACAGAGUUAUCGGCAACUGGCAGGAGCCAUAUGGUUGUCGCUUUAUUGUAUGAAAUGCAAUCGCCAUGUAAUUGCUUUACUUUAUCACUAAGCGGUAGCGAUAGUCAUAGUAGCAAUAGUUGGCGAAACGACAACGAUGCUUCGAUGGAGAUCAAGGUGUCAAGCCCGUGACGAUGGUGAUCAUGAAGGUGCUUUGGAGAUGGAGAUCAAAGGCACAAGAUGAUGAUGGCCAUAUCAUAUCACUUAUAUUGAUUGCAUGUGAUGUUUAUCCUUUAUGCAUCUUAUUUUGCUUAGUUCAGCGGUAGCAUUAUAAGAUGAUCCCUCACUAAAUUUCAAGGUAUAAGUGUUCUCCCUGAGUAUGCACCAUUGCUACAGUUCGUCGUGCCGAGACACCACGUGAUGAUCGGGUGUGAUAAGCUCUACGUUCACAUACAAUGGGUGCAAGCCAGUUUUGCACAUGCAGAAUACUCAGGUUAAAAUUGACGAGCCUAGCAUAUGCAGAUAUGGCCUCGGAACACUGAGACCGAAAGGUCGAACGUGAAUCAUAUAGUAGAUAUGAUCAACAUAGUGAUGUUCACCAUUCAAAACCACUCCAUCUCAUGUGAUUAUCGGACAUGGUUUAGUUGAUAUGGAUCAUGUGAUCACUUAGAUGAUUAGAGGGAUGUCUAUCUAAAUGGGAGUUCUUAAGUAAUAUGAUUAAUUGAACUUUAAUUUAUCAUGAACUUAGUACCUGAUACUAUUUUGCAUGUCUAUGUUGUUGUAGAUAGAUGGCUCGUGCUGUUGUUCCGUUGAAUUUUAAUGCGUUCCUAGAGAAAGCUAAGUUGAAAGAUGAUGGUAGCAACUACACGGACUGGGACCGUAACUUGAGGAUUAUCCUCAUUGCUGCACAGAAGAAUUACGUCCUGGAAGCACCGCUAGGUGACAAACCCGCUGCAGGAGCAACGCCAGAUGUUAUGAACGUCUGGCAGAGCAAAGCUGAUGACUACUCGAUAGUUCUGUGUGCCAUGCUUUACGGCUUAGAACCGGGACUUCAACGACGUUUUGAACGUCAUGGAGCAUAUGAGAUGUUCCAGGAGUUGAAGUUAAUAUUUCAAGAAAAUGCCCGGAUUGAGAGAUAUGAAGUCUCCAAUAAGUUCUACAGCUGCAAAAUGGAGGAGAAUAGUUCUGUCAGUGAACAUAUACUCAGAAUGUCUGGGUACUACAACCACUUGACUCAACUGGGAGUUAAUCUUCCUGAUGAUAGUGUCAUUGACGGAGUUCUUCAAUCACUGCCACCAAGCUACAAGAGCUUCAUGAUGAACUAUAAUAUGCAAGGGAUUUAUAAGACAAUUCCUGAGCUCUUCGCAAUGCUAACGGCUGCGGAGGUAGAAAUCAAGAAGGAGCAUCAAGUGUUGAUGGUCAACAAGACCACCAGCUUCAAGAAAAAGGGUAAAGGGAAGAAGGGGAACUUCAAGAAGAACAAUAAGCAAGUUGCUGCUCAAGUGAAGAAGCCCAAGUCUGGACCUAAGCCUGAGACUGAGUGCUUCUACUGCAAAGGGACUGGUCACUGGAAGCGGAACUGCCCCAAGUAUUUGGCGGAGAAGAAGGAUGGCAAAGUGAAAGGUAUAUUUGAUAUACAUGUUAUUGAUGUGUACCUUACUAAUGCUCGCAGUAGUGCCUGGGUAUUUGAUACUGGUUCUGUUGCCAAUAUGUGCAACUCAAAAUAGGGGCUACGGAUUAAGCGAAGGUUGGCUAAGGACGAGGUGAUGAUGCGCGUGGAAAAUGGUUCCAAAGUCGAUCUGAUCGCUGUCGGCACGCUACCUCUACAUCUACCUUCGGGAUUAGUUUUAGACCUAAAUAACUGUUAUUUGGUGCCAGCGUUGAGCAUGAACAUUAUAUCUGGAUCUUGUUUGAUGCGAGACAGUUACUCAUUUAAAUCAGAGAAUAAUGGUUGUUCUAUUUAUAUGAGUAAUAUCUUUUAUGGUCACGCACCCUUGAUGAGUGGUCUAUUUUUAUGAAAUCUUGAUAGUAGUGAUACACAUGUUCAUAGUAUUGAAACCAAAAGAUAUAAAUUUAAUAAUGAUAGUGCAACUUAAUUGUGGCACUGCCAUUUAGGUCAUAUUGGUGUAAAGCGCAUGAAGAAACUCCAUGCCGAUGGGCUUUUGGAAUCACUUGAUUAUGAAUCACUUGAUGCUUGCGAACCAUGCCUCAUGGGCAAGAUGACUAAGACUCCGUUCUCUGGAACAAUGGAGCGAGCAACAGACUUGUUGGAAAUAAUACAUACUGAUGUAUGCGGUCCAAUGAAUGUUGAUGCUCGCGGCGGGUAUCGUUAUUUUCUUACCUUCACAGAUGAUUUGAGCAGAUAUGGGUAUAUCUACUUGAUGAAACAUAAGUUUGAAAUAUUUGAAAAGUUCAAAGAAUUUCAGAGUGAAGUGGAAAAUCAUCGUAACAAGAAAAUAGAGUUUCUACGAUCUGAUCGUGGAGGAGAAUAUUUGAGUUACGAGUUUGGUCUUCAUUUGAAACAAUGCGGAAUAGUUUCGCAACUCACACCACCUGGAACACCACAGCGUAAUGGUGUGUCCGAAUGUCGUAAUCGUACUUUACUAGAUAUGGUGCGAUCUAUGAUGUCUCUCACUGAUUUACCGCUAUCGUUUUGGGGUUAUGCUUUAGAGACAGCUGCAUUCACGUUAAAUAAAGCACCAUCUAAAUCCGUUGAGACGACACCUUAUGAACUGUGGUUUGGCAAGAAACCCAAGUUGUCGUUUCUUAAAGUUUGGGGCUGCAAUGCUUAUGUGAAAAAGCUUCAACCUGAUAAGCUUGAACCCAAAUCGGAAAAAUGUGUCUUCAUAGGAUACCCAAAGGAGACUGUUGGGUACACCUUCUAUCACAGAUCCGAAGGCAAGAUAUUCGUUGCUAAGAAUGGAUCCUUUCUAGAGAAGGAGUUUCUCUCGAAAGAAGUGAGUGGGAGGAAAGUAGAACUUGAUGAGGUAACAGUACCUGCUCCCUUAUUGGAAAGUAGUUCAUCACAGAAAUCAGUUCCAGUGAUUCCUACACCAAUAAGUGAGGAAGCUAAUGAUGAUGAUCAUGAAACUUCUGAUCAAGUUACUACUGAACCUCGUAGGUCAACCAGAGUAAGAUCCAAACCAGAGUGGUACGGUAAUCCUGUUCUGGAAGUCAUGUUACUUGACCAUGACGAACCUACGAACUAUGAGGAAGCGAUGAUGAGCCCAGAUUCCACAAAAUGGCUUGAGGCAAUGAAAUCUUAGAUGGGAUCCAUGUAUGAGAACAAAGUAUGGACUUUGGUUGACCUGCCCGAUGAUCUGCAAGCCAUAGACAAUAAAUGGAUCUUCAAGAAGAAGACUGACGCAGACGGUAAUGUUACUGUCUACAAAGCUCGACUUGUUGCGAAAGGUUUUCGACAAGUUCAAGGAGUUGACUAUGAUGAGACCUUCUCACCCGUAGAGAUGCUUAAGUCCGUCCGAAUCAUGUUAGCAAUUGCCGCAUUUUAUGAUUAUGUAAUUUGGCAAAUGGAUGUCAAAACUGCAUUCCUUAAUGCAUAUCUUAAAGAAGAGUUGUAUAUGAUCCAACCAGAAGAUUUUGUCGAUCCAAAAGGUGCUAACAAAGUGUGCAAGCUCCAGCGAUCCAUUUAUGGACUGGUGGAAGCCUCUCGGAGUUGGAAUAUACGCUUUGAUAGUGUGAUCAAAGCAUAUGGAUUUAUACAGACUUUUGGAGAAGCCUGUAUUUACAAGAAAGUGAGUGGGAGCUCUGUAGCAUUUCUGAUAUUAUAUGUGGAUGACAUAUUGUUGAUCGGAAAUGAUACUGAAUUUCUGAAUAGCAUAAAAGGAUACUUGAAUAAGAAUUUUUCAAUGAAAGACCUCGGUGAAGCUGCUUAUAUAUUGGGCAUCAAGAUCUAUAGAGAUAGAUCAAGGCGCUAAAUUGGACUUUCACAAAGCACAUACCUUGACAAAGUUUUGAAGAAGUUCAAAAUGGAUCAAGCAAAGAAAGGGUUCUUGCCUGUGUUACAAGGUGUGAAGUUGAUUUAGACUCAAUGCCCGACCACUGCAGAAGAUAGAGAGAAAAUGAAAGUCAUUCCCUAAGCUUCAGCCAUAGGUUCUAUCAUGUAUGCAAUGUUGUGUACCAGACCUGAUGUGUGCCUUGCUAUUAGUUUAGCAGGAAGGUACCAAAGUAAUCCAGGAGUGGAUCACUGGACAGCGGUCAAGAAUAUCCUGAAAUACCUGAAAAGGACUAAGGAUAUGUUUCUCGUUUAUGGAGGUGACAAAGAGCUCGUCGUAAAUGGUUACGUUGAUGCAAGCUUUGAGACUGAUCCGGAUGACUCUAAGUCACAAACCGGAUACGUAUUUUUAUUGAAUGGUGGGGCUGUCAAUUGGUGCAGUUCCAAGCAGAGCGUCGUGGCGGGAUCUACGUGUGAAGCGGAGUACAUAGCUGCUUCGGAAGCAGCGAAUGAAGGAGUCUGGAUGAAGGAGUUCAUAUCCGAUCUAGGUGUCAUACCUAGUGCAUCGGAUCCAAUGAAUCCAGAUUUCACAAGAGAACCAAGCACAUCAAGAGACGCUUCAAUUCCAUCCGCGAUCAAGUCAAGGAGGGAGACAUAGAGAUUUGCAAGAUACAUACGGAUCUGAAUGUUGCAGACCCGUUGACUAAGCCUCUCUCACGAGCAAAACAUGAUCAGCACCAAGACUCCAUGGGUGUUAGAAUCAUUACAAUGUAAUCUAGAUUAUUGACACUAGUGCAAGUGGUAGACUGAAGGAAAUAUGCCCUAGAGGCAAUAAUAAAGUUGUUAUUUAUAUUUCCUUAUAUCAUGAUAAAUGUUUAUUAUUCAUGCUAGAAUUGUAUUAACCGGAAACUUAGUACAUGUGUGAAUACAUAGACAAACAGAGUGCCACUAGUAUGCCUCUACUUGACUAGCUUGUUAAUCAAAGAUGGUUAAGUUUCCUAGCCAUGGACAAAGAGUUGUCAUUUGAUAAACGAGAUCACAUCAUUAGAGAAUGAUGUGAUUGACUUGACCCAUCCGUUAGCUUAGCACGAUGAUCGUUUAGUUUGUUGCUAUUGCUUUCUUCAUAACUUAUACAUGUUACUAUGACUAUGAGAUUAUGCAACUCCCGAAUACCGGAGGAACACUUAGUGUGCUAUCAAACGUCACAACGUAACUGGGUGAUUAUAAAGAUGCUCUACAGGUGUCUCCGAUGGUGUUUGUUGAGUUGGCAUAGAUCAAGAUUAGGAUUUGUCACUCCAGGUAUCGGAGAGGUAUCUCUGGGCCCUCUCGGUAAUGCACAUCACUAUAAGCCUUGCAAGCAUUGUGACUAAUGAGUUAGUUGCGGAAUGAUGCAUUAUGGAACGAGUAAAGAGACUUGCCAGUAAUGAGAUUGAACUAGGUAUUGAGAUACCGACGAUCGAAUCUCGGGCAAGUAACAUACCGAUGACAAAGGGAACAAUGUAUGUUGUUAUGCGGUUUGACCGAUAAAGAUUUUCGUAGAAUAUGUAGGAACCAAUAUGAGCAUCCAGGUUCCACUAUUGGUUAUUGAUCGGAGAUGAGUCUCGGUCAUGUCUACAUAGUUCUCGAACCCGUAGGGUCCGCACGCUUAACGUUCGGUGACGAUCGGUAUUAUGAGUUUAUGUGUUUUGAUGUACCGAAGGUAGUUCGGAGUCCCGGAUAUGAUCACGGACAUGACGAGGAGUCUCAAAAUGGUCGAGACAUAAAGAUCGAUAUAUUGGAGGACUAUGUUUGGACAUCGGAAUGGUUCCGGGUGAGUUCGGGCAUUUACCGGAGUACCGGGGGGUUACCGGAACCCCCCGGGGAGUGUAUGGGCCUUAUUGGGCCUUAGUGGGAGAGAGGAGGAGGCGGCCUAGGAGGGGGGCGCGCCCCCCCAAGCCCAAUUCGAAUUGGGAGGGGGGGCAGCCCCCCUUUCCUUCCUCCCUCUCUCCUCCUUCCUUCCUCUCCAACUCCUACUUGGAAGGGGGGAAUCCUACUCCCGGUGGGAGUAGGACUCCCCUAGGGCGCUCCAUAGAGAGGGCCGGCCCUUCCCCUCCUCCACUCCUAUAUUUACGGGGGAGGGGGCACCCCAAAGACACACAAGUUGAUCAUUGUCUUAACCGUGUGCGGUGCCCCCCUCCACCAUAAUCCACCUCGGUCAUAUCGUCGUAGUGCUUAGGCGAAGCCCUGCGCCGGUAGCUUCAUCAUCACCGUCAUCACGCCAUCGUGCUGACGAAGCUCUCCCUCGACACUCAGCUGGAUCGAGAGUUCGUGGGACGUCACCGAGCCGAACGUGUGCAGAUCGCGGAGGUGCCGUACUUUCGGUACUAGGAUCGGUUGGAUCGUGAAGACGUUCGACUACAUCAACCGCGUUGUCAUAACGCUUCCGCUUACGGUCUACGAGGGUACGUGGACUACACUCUCCCCUCUCGUUGCUAUGCAUCACCAUGAUAGAUCUUGCGUGUGCAUAGGAAAAUUUUGACUUUACUGUGUUCCCCAAUAAUAAGACCAAAACUAUAUUCCUUAGCAAGGAAAAGGAAAGAAAAAUCCCAUAACGAUCAAUAAACUACAGCAACAACCAUAUCUGUACCAAUUAUCUAUUGACACCACCAGGACAACGGGAAAAGUUUUUGAAUGACAAUGGCUUCAGGAAUGGAGUGAUGCUCAAGCAUCACCGUCACCGGAUCCAACAACCAAAGGCCCGGUUCUAGGUUUUUGCCCCGAAGAACAAGUCCGAGCAUAUCCAAGCAAUGCCUUCAACAAGGUAAUGACGCAAAAACAUCACCAUUGCCAGGUCUAACAAACUCGGGUCAUACCUAGGGUUUUCACCCCGGAGCUCGAGAUCGGGCACUCGAGAAGCACCAAAUCGAAUUCAAUCAUGUGUUGUCGCUACCAAUUUUCCGUGAUCCCAACAACUACAUGCGCUAGGCUAGAACUCCCACCGCCCUACUACAGAACCUUACCCUCUGCGUCAAGCCGCUGCCCAUAGACUGCAUCUCACAAUCAAAGGAAAACUAGCUAGAGCGAGAGCCGUCAAAACCAACAGUGGAGCCUUUGGCUCCCUCCCACAUAUGUGCCGCCAGUAGUAGCCACUGGAUGUGAAGAGAUGACCCCAGCGAAGACUUCGAUGUCCACCGCAAUCCGCAGCUCGAGUGGCCUACCGUUGUCGCCAAGGUCAGAUCUGAAGGAGAAAUCCUUCCAAAUCAAACGGUGACAAAACCGUUCACUGAUUUGAUCGGACGUGACCACAAGCCAGAAAGGAAGCGACCAACCCCAAUCCUAACAAGUAGUUGCCACUAAGAGAGCCGCAUGUGCCCGACGUGGUGGUCUGGAGGGAGCAGCAGAGGACCGGUGGCGGCGAGAAAAGGAAGGGCUGACGGGAGGUGGUGGCAGCGGCUUAGGGUUGCUCCUCGAGCCGCCAAGGGAGACGAUGCGGUGACUGUUUUGCAUGGCCUGCUUCGCUUGUUCUCUAGCUAGGAACACCCAAAAAAAGGUACUAGUAGUAAUUGGCUUGGAUUCCUGAUUAAUUGAAUACAUGGUAACCUUUACGAACUGAGCCGAGUUCUAAUGCAUCAAAUGUAUCCAUUGCUUUGUAGCACUACUUUAGGGCCAGUUCUUUUGCUGGCUUCUAGAAUAAGCUGCCCCCUACCCAGCUUAUUCUAGAAGCCCAACCAAAUUUAUUUUUUGAGAAGCCUACUAUUUAAGACUUAACUAUUAGGCUUCUAAAAAAUAUUUUUUGUUGGGCUUCUAGAAUAAGCUGGGUAGGGGCAGCUUAUUCUAGAAGCUCAAAAAAGCCACUAAAAGAAUUGGCCCUUAACAAGCUUACCGUACAUAUUAUUUUGCCAUGCCAAUUUUUUGUUGUAAUUUGUGUUAAUUGAGCUGUGUUUUAUUUUUGUCUUUUGAAACUUGAAUGUGCACGGGUGAAGUUUGGCUUGAGAAAGUUGGGGGAGGUAUUUCAUGGUGUGAAGAUACGUGGAAUUGUGCCUUACCAUUACUAUGUUUCCCUAAAAAAAACUGCGAUCAUGCCACACUUGCAGUAAAAAUUCCCCAAAAAUCACAACCAAUUCUAGAACAUGGCCGUCCAUCUUUGUCUGCAAAAAAAGCAGACUAGCUUGUCUUGCGCUGAUUCACGUCACAUGGGUUGCGCUAGCAAGAGUCCUUGGGAUACAAAAUACAACCAUAAUAAUUGGAUGGACAUUUUAAGCUAAAGGCCUAGCCAUGAGUAUUUGCCCUUGUUUGCAAAAAAAAAAAAAGGUGAAAGUGAUGGGUCUAAUGCCUUACGUUGAAGUUUCCUAGUAACCAUUUUAAGCGAAGGGUACAACGAAUGAGUUCGCAUCCAUUUGCACAAAUUAGGGGCCUCUUUAAUACGUACGAUAAGUGGAGGAAGAAUGCAUGAAUAGAAAAGUUUACAAUGGUUGCAUUGCUUAUAAUUCAAAAGAAUGUACCAUAGGGAAAAUGCAGAGAUUUUUCUUUGGUUUUAAGAAAAACAAAGGAAUUUUACGAUCCACCCUAACCUCUCUUUUACAAGCGUAAUAUGCACAAAGACCAAGGCAAAUGCCAUAACUAACAUAGUGUAUUAAGUUAAUCUGAAUUUUUCAUAUGUUUUAACCUUAAUUUGACUAUGCCUUUUAGGAUUCACGUGUUUUCCUAUUCUUGCAAAUCAAACACGGAAUUCUGCAAAUUCAUGUGUUUUCACCGUCCUCUGUUUUGCACAUGCAAUCCUAUCUCAUUCUUAUGUUUUCUUAUUCUUGUAUUUUUGCAAUCUUGUGAAUCGAAGAGGCAUAGUGAAAUGGACAUGUUCGACUGGUCCAUCAUCACGCCUGAACUACACACGAUGUUCCUGCUUCCUGAUAAUAUAUACCCACAUCACCCGAAGCUCUGGUCAUUUGUGUUCACUCUCAUGCUUAUUUCGCACUUUGGAUGUUUUAAUAUGACUGUCAUUUGGCUGGAUAUAACUACUAACAACAUUAUCCAGUAUAUGUGGUUGUUUGGUAAAAGUUUCCCAAUUUAAAGGUAGGCUCUCGCGAAUCGGCUCAUCGAUGCAAAUAAUGUGGUUCAUGGCUCUAGUUUGAGGUUGCAAUUCAAAACGUUUCUUAGAAAGGAAAAAGACAGAUAAUAGCGGACAAGUGCAAUCUACAAAAAGACUUUCAACUUAUAGUCCCAUAGUACUCGUCAUCUCCAAUGUACAUAUUCCUUCAAAUUUGGAAAAUCGAAUAUAUAUAUUCGCCGUUGGGAACAUAUAGCAUGCCUAACUACUAAGAAUUGCUUUGUGAUUGUUAGAGUAGUCAUUAUGGUAUACGACUUCUAGUCCAAGUCAGUUUUGUAUCCCUACCCCAAGUCGGUUUGUACCCUUUUAUAUACUCUUGUAUGCCGCACCAAAUCAUCAAUAAGCAACAGUUUAUUCAGCUUUCAUGGUAUCAGAUACCGGUCCCAGGGUUUAGGGUAUGGCUCUGCCAACGCCAACGCCGCCGCUGCCGCCCGGCUACUUCGAGCGCCGGGCCGCACUCAUCGCCAAGGCUGCCAACGCCGCGGCCGCUUCUCUCUCGGCCCUCACCAUAGCUCCACAAAACUACCCUGCACCCAUCCUCGCCGCACCAAUAUCUCUUGCUGACACAAUCUCCGACGUCAGCCCCUACAUCCCCAUAGUUCUUGAUCUCGCCGCCCACAACUACUACCAUUGGAGACAUCUCUUCGAUCUCCACCUCGGCCGCUGCAACCUGCGCUCGCAUGUCGCCGCCAACUGUCUUCCCCGCCCCGACGAUCCGCAAUGGUUGAAAGACGAUCUCGCGAUCGUCCAGUGAUUCUACACCCGCAUCACCACCGAGAUCUUCAACAUGCUCGAUCACGACGGCGCCACCGCUGCCAACAUCUGGCACUCCCUCCGUCAGCUCUUCCAAAGCAACACCGACGCUCGGAAAAACUCUCUCCACACCGAGCUUCGCAAUAUGGUGCAAGGAGACGCCCCGGUGAACCUGUUCUGCCAGCGCGUUAAGACCAUUGGUGAUGAGCUCCGCGAACUCGGCGAUACAGUUAGCGACUCACAGCUAAUCAAUAUCGUCGUCGUCGGCCUCAGCGAAGACUUUGACAAGCAAGCCUCGUUCAUACCGAUGAUACGGCCCCCUCCUACCUUCGCUGAAGUUCGUUCCUUGCUACAACUCGCCGCGGAAACACAAGCUCGCAAGGACUCUCGCCCCAAGGUCUUUCAUGCUGCGGCUCGUCCUCCUCUGUCGUCUACACCAGCGCCGCCUUCCAUGCCGGCUCCUGCCGCCGGGCCGUCCGCAUCGUCAUCUGUUCAACCGCCCCCAGGCUGGCGUCCUAGUCCGAACUACCGCGGCAAAAACCCUAUCUACAGGCCGCCGUCGACUCGUUCGGUUCCGCCUACGACAUCACCAGCACCGAGUCCUGCACCACCCACCAGUGCUCCAUCUGCGGUUGCAUGGCGGCCUCCUCAUGAUCCUUGGAUGGGGCUUGUUCAAGCAUGGCCAUGCCCUGGUCCACUCCAUCCACCCUCGGUGCUCCGCCGGCAUACUCAGGUGCCUGGCAACCCGGCCUUCAGCCGCCUACUGGUGCUCCCGGGGUUCUCAACCCCCGACAGCCGGCCAAUGCCUAUCACGCCGCCCCGACGUAUGCUCCUUAUGGUCAUUACACCACCGACGGCGGCGCCUACUACACACCUCAGCCGGCCCUGCUCCCGACGCCACCCCCACUACAGCCGGCCAAUGCCUACUACACUCCCCAGCCGGCCCUACUGCCUUCACCAUCGUAUCCGCCGGCACUGCUUCCGAUGCCACCCUCACCUGCGACGCCGAGCUGGGAUCAAGCUGCCUUUCUCCAGGCCAUGAAUAACUUUGCUGCACAAGGAAACUCAGGUACGGAUUGGAUCUUUGAUUCAGGGGCCUCUAGUCAUAUGUCUGCAUCUAGUAAUUGGUUAUCUUCUUGCACUAAAUCUCCUUUCCCUUCCAUUAUCCUUGGAGAUGGAUCAUCUAUUCCUAUAUAUUGUGUUGGUCAGGCUCAACUUCCCUCUUCCACCAAACCUCUUUUACUUCGCGAUGUUCUAGUUGCACCCGCCCUCAUUAAAAAUCUUAUCUCUGUUCGCCAAUUUACUUGCGACAAUCUAGUUUCAGCUGAAUUUGACCCUUUUGGUUUAUCUGUGAAGGAUUACCUGACCAAGGCCGAGAUCGCUCGCUUCAAUAGCUCCGGUGAUCUUUAUUCUCUUAAUGGAGUUCCUGCCGCCACCCCUCCAACAUCCAUGCUGGCCUCCGUCGAUCUCUGGCAUCGUCGCCUGGGCCAUCCCAACCCCGCCGUCUUAGCUUCUAUGCUUAGUGAAUUUACCAUACCAUGUAAUAGGGACUCUCAUAAUUCUGUGUUUUGCGAGUCUUGUCAAUUAGGCAAACAUGUGCAUCUUCCCUUUAGUUCCUCUAGUUCUUGUAGCACUUAUCCCUUUGAAUUAAUACAUUGUGAUUUAUGGACCUCUCCCAUUGCAAGUGUUUCGGGUUUUAAAUACUACCUUGUUAUCCUAGAUGAUUUCACCCACUUUGUCUGGACUUUUCCUCUACGCAACAAAUCCGAGGUCCAUUCUCUUUUCCUUAAUUUUCAACGCUAUGUGUCUGUUCACUUCUUCCUCCCAAUUCGCUUUAUCCAAUGUGACAAUGGUCGCGAGUUUGAUAACAUUAAAAAUCGUACUUACUUCUUACAACAUGGCAUCCUGCUUAGGUUCUCAUGUCCCGACACCUCCCCUCAAAAUGGUAAAGCAGAACGCUCUCUUCGCACCCUCAAUGAUAUAGUUCGCACUCUCCUCAUUCAAUCAUCUAUGCCUCCCAAGUUUUGGGCUGAAGCCCUACACAUGGCCACCUUCCUUCUAAAUAUUCGACCUUCUAAAACUAAACCCAACACUACUCCCUAUUAUUCCCUCUUUCUUUCCCACCCCGACUACUCCGCGGUUCGUGUUUUCGGCUGUCUUUGUUUUCCCAAUGCCUACGCCACUUCUGCAAAUAAAUUGUCACCACGCUCUAUCCCAUGUGCUUUUCUCGGCUUCUCUGACAAGCACAAAGGCUAUCGUUGUCUCGACCUUCACACCGGACACGUUCAUGUCUCUCGUCAUGUCACGUUUGCUGAGCACAUUUUUCCUUUCUCACAACGCACUACUACACCAUCCAACACCCCUAGCUCCGCAAACACCCCCUCUCCCCGUCCUUUCCAACUAUAUACUCCCCUACCUGCCGAACACAACUUAUCACCACCACCAUUAACACCCACCAUAGCCAAUCCCAACCAUACACUCACCCCACCCGAGACGUCCCCAACACCCCUGACCCCUGCUCCCUCCCCAACACCCCUGGCCCCUACUCCCACUCCACCACCCAGCCCUACUCCUUCGUCCGACUCUUUCGCUGCGCCGGACUCACCAGUAUCCACCUUACCCCCUCGUGCUAUUCCUACAGCAGCCCCGAUUAAUGAUCAUCGCAUGCGUACUAGGGCCAAAUCAGGAUUUCAUCAACCCCAAGACCGCCUAAACCUUCAUACCUCCGUAUCUCUCACUUCUCUUCCAAAGAAUUACAAAACUGCUCUACUUGAUCCCAAUUGGGCCGCUGCCAUGCAAGAAGAAUAUAAUGCUUUACUUCAAAACAACACCUGGCAACUUGUUCCUCGUCCUCCCAAUACCAAUAUUGUUUCUGGCAAAUGGAUUUUUCGCCAAAAGUUCCACUCCGAUGGGAGCCUCUCACGAUAUAAAGCCAGGUGGGUUUGUCGUGGCUUUUCUCAGCGACAAGGAAUUGAUUACGAAGAAACCUUCUCUCCUGUUGUUAAACCUAGCACCAUUCGCACCGUUCUUAGUGUUGAUGUCUCCUCUUCAUGGCCCAUUCACCAACUUGAUGUUAAAAAUGCUUUCCUCCAUGGUUCCCUUCAAGAAACUAUCUACUGCCAGCAACCUCUGGGUUUUGAAAAUCCAUCCUUUCCAACUCAUGUAUGUCUUCUUCAGAAAUCUCUCUACGGUCUUAAACAGGCCCCACGAGCUUGGUUUCAACGCUUCUCCUCCUUCAUUCAAACAAUAGGCUUCACUCCAUCUCUCUCCGACACCUCUCUUUUUGUGUAUCAUCAAACUUCUGACACUGCCUAUUUACUUCUCUAUGUAGAUGAUAUCAUUCUUACCGCCUCCUCUCAAAAGUUCUUAGAUCAUAUUGUCUCUCUUCUUAGAUCUGAAUUUUCUAUGACUGACCUAGGACUCCUUCAUCAUUUCUUAGGCAAUGCUGUUGUUCGAGAUUCCACCAGCCUUUUUCUUUCCCAACGCCAGUAUAUUCUUGAUCUUCUUAAUCGUGCUGGUAUGCUUGACUGUCAAUCAUCUCGCACUCCUGUCGAUACUAGUUUUAAACUUUCGGCUACCGGUGAACCCUUUUCCGAUCCUACUCUCUAUCGUAGCCUAACAGGUGCUCUCCAAUAUCUCACCAUUACUCGUCCUAAAAUCUCUUUUGCUGUUCAACAAGCAUGUCUCUAUAUGCAUGAUCCCCGGGUUCCUCACUAUAAUCAUGUUAAACGCAUUCUUCGGUAUUUAAAAGGAACUCUCAAUCAUGGUCUCCACCUCAAUAAUUCUUCUCCAAACUCGCUUACCGCAUACUCUGAUGCAGACUGGGCUGGUUGUCCUGACACUCGAAGGUCCACUUCCGGUUUUUGUGUUUUUCUUGGUAACAAUUUGAUUUCUUGGUCUUCGAAAAGACAGGUUACAGUCUCACGUUCGUCGGCCGAGGCUGAGUAUCGCGCUGUGGCACAUGCCAUUGCAGAUACAAUCUGGAUUCGGCAGUUACUCUCUGAGCUACAUAGGCCUAUUGAGCAGGCCACUAUUGUCUACUGUGACAACAUAUCAGCAGUCUACAUGACCAGCAAUCCAGUUCAACACCGACGCACAAAGCAUAUUGAGAUUGAUAUUCAUUUUGUUCGUGAAAAGGUUGCUCUUGGUCAGGUUCGGGUGCUUCAUGUUCCCUCUACGGCUCAGUUUGCUGACAUUUUCACCAAGGCACUGCCUACUAAGCCGUUUCAAGAUAUCUGUUUCAGUCUCAACGUCGUCGAGCCUGCCGUUGAUACUGCGGGGAGGUGUUAGAGUAGUCAUUAUGGUAUACGACUUCUAGUCCAAGUCAGUUUUGUACCCCUACCCCAAGUCGGUUUGUACCCUCUUAUAUACUCUUGUAUGCCGCACCAAAUCAUCAAUAAGCAACAGUUUUAUUCAACUUUCAGUGAUCAUGUCGUGUGAUUCAUAUCUGCACCCAUCUUUCUACUUCGUGCGGAAGCCUGACAAAUGCUAUGUUUUGUAACAGUUCUGCACUCUUGCAGUAAAUCCUCUAGCUGCCCCGGCCGAAAGUUGAAACGUAUUCUGGUAGACUGCCGCCCAUUUUUGGCUGCAAAUCAGUGGGCACGACUAAGCUAGUCCUGCGCUACUUCACAUCACAUGGGUUAGGUUCCUCGGGAUAGCAAAUAGAAACAUAAGUAGAUGGACAUACAAAUUUUAAGCUAAAGGCCCAGCUACGAGUCUGUGGUCUUUGUUCGGGUAAAGCGACCAUUUUAAGCCAAAGGCACAGCCAUGAGCCUGCACUACUCGUUUGCACAAACUAGGGAAAAAGGACGGUCCAUCAUCACUACACGCCUGGCCUGACCGGCGCAGUUGGUGGUGGAGAGUAUAAGCAGCACCGAUAUGCCAUGGCUGUGAGCCUGUGACCGGCCUGUACCCGCAUCAAUGGCGCGUAGCUAGAGUAGUGCUAGAAUUGAACAGUGGACUGCGCCAUGCCGGUUCACAUUUGGGGAGGAGGAAACUUCGUGGAAGUUGCAACCUCAAGCUCACAUCGAUCGCAUCAUGUCAUUUAUCCAUGCAGGUAAUCAGGCUGCUAGAAAGAACGUUUAGUUUCCGUCAAUUGUAGUAGCUCAAGCUUAGUUUGAGCUUACUGUGAGUUAAUCGGGGGGUGGGCAGCUUCCCGGAAGUUUUUAUUUAGAACGAAGACGCUAGAAGUGUCCGACUUUAAAUUAAUAAAGCCCACAACUUAAGCAACGUAACAAACAGAGUCUUAGAACAUCGAACACGAGCACGGAGGCUCAGGCCACGCCGACGCGGAGUCUCGAGAGUUUAAAACAGGCCAAAAGAAGCACGCAGCGAGGCAAAUACAAGGCCCGAAGCCAGAGCAUAGAGCACGCAGGCUCGCUCGCGUGACAAAAGGGCCACUUCACGGCAUAGAAGUGACAAACGGCUCCCUAGCCAAAACGUAGACCUGGCGAAGACGAUCUUGAGCUUGCUUUAGUUUCUCAGCAUCCUUGCGCCUCGCCAACGGACUCCACUGCUGCAGGAAAAGGUUGCAUUUGUAGAUUAUGUUAGCAGGGUGUGAUGGGAAGAUUCCUUCGAUCACUAGUUUGUUCCUAGUGAGCCAGAUAGCCCAGGCCAAGGCUCCUAUGCAACUCCAAAGCACACGUUUGUUGCCUCCCUGAACGGAGUCUAUUAUGGCCGCGAGGUCGGAGGCCGACCGAGGGUCCCAGGAAGUAUUGGCCGCUGCACGAACGGCACUCCAAGCAAAACGUGCCAGCGGACAGCGGAAGAAUACGUGGUUCACAUCCUCCGUGACGUUAGAUAUCGCACACAGGCCGGUCGACCGGCCAUUGCUUUUGGCGAUGUUAGCCGAAAUGGGCAGUCUAUUGCGAAACAGUUGCUAGAAAAACACCUUAAUCUUAAGUGGGAGGCGCGAGUUCCACAAGCCCUUCGGCACCUGAAAGGACGGGCCCUGACACAGCUUACGGUAAAGUGACUUGACCGAAAACUUGCCGGACGGGGUGAGGGCCCAGGUCACUGUGUCCGCGGACGAAGACAACGACACCGACUCGGUGAGAGCAAGCAACUUUGUUAGGUGUGCUUGUUCCGUCCCCGUUAACUCUCGACGGAAGUGGAUCGCCGGGGGGAAGAGGCAAGUGCCGUGGCAACAGUUUGCUCCGGGUUGACAGCCAGAGCGUAAAGGUCCUGGAAAUCUGACCAAAGGGGUUAGGAUCCCACCCAAUGGUCUAGCCAGAAACGGGCCGAACGGCCGUUGCCAAUGGAGAACUUGGCUCCCAGUGCAAAGGCCGGUCGGACCGCUUGAAGAUCGUUCCAGAAAGGAGAUCCCCUCGCCACACCCUCAAAAAAAUUCCGUUCGGGAAGUACUUGGCACGCAACAGGUCAACCCACAUACCCGUCACCCCCGCGAAAGCUUCCAUAUCCAUUUGCACAUAAGUUCAAUGUUUAAGAUUCUGGUAUUUGUGAUCCCGAGACCUCCCAGGUCUUUGGGACGGCACACCGCAGCCCAUUUAACCAUGUGGUACUUGCGUUUGGGUCCCGAUCCUUCCCAAAAGAAACGAGACCGAGGUGUGUCCAUAUUGGCAUGAACCCCUUCUGCCAGGAGGAACAGCCCCAUAGCAAAUUGCGGCAGCAAGGAGAGGCUCAAGUUCGUGAGAACCAGCCUAGCUACAGAGGAUAGGAACUUCUCCCUCCACGGACAUACCCGCCCUCCCACCUUGGUCCAGAGCGGAGCCCACCCGUCGAUCGUGAUGUGUUUGGCGUCCAACGGGAGACCCAGGUAGGUAAACGGUAGUUUGCCUAGUUUGCAAUUGAGAAGGUCCGCGAUACGCCUACCUUCUUGCGCCUCCAUGCCCAUAGGCAUCCCUUCACACUUGUGGAAGUUAAUUUUAAGCCCCGACAUGAGUUCGAAGCUAAUUAACAAGGCUUUGACCGUAGCCACACUAUGGAGAUCUGGUUGGAACAACAAUAGCGUAUCAUCCGCGUAUUGCAAGUGUGAUAUCCCCCCGGGAUGAGGUGUCCCAACACCCCUUUUAUGUGCCCUGCCUCCGUGGCUUUCCGCAGCAUAGCCGCCAACGCGUCGGCGACAAAAUUGAACAAGAGCGGUGACAUGGGAUCGCAUUGGCGCAAGCCUCGCUUGUUCCUGAAGAAGUGCCCUACUUCUCCAUUCACCGAGACCGCAGUUUGGCCCCCCGAGACCAAUUGCAUGACUCGAUGCACCCACACCAGCGAGAAGCCUCGACUGGUGAGAAUCUGACGGAGGAAAUCCCAAUUGACGCGGUCGUAAGCCUUCUCGAAAUCUAAUUUGAGGAGAAUCGCAGGCUCGUCCGUGCGCUUAAGCUCGUGAAUGGUCUCUUGCAAAGCUAACGGCCCCUCCAAAAUGUUUCUACCACGUAUGAAUGCACAUUGGGAACGACUUAUGGUGCGAUGUGCGAUCGGCGUGAGCCUUGUGGCGCAGCCUUUGGCACCGAUUUUAAACGGUACGUUAAUGAGCGCGAUGGGUCUGUACUGGCGAAUGUUGUCCGCCCCAGACACUUUCGGGAUUAACGAGAGCACGCCGUAGUUUAGCCUCGCGAUGUCCACGAAACCACGCAUGAAGCCAUUACACACAUCCUAUAUGGGAUCGCGCAGCAUAGGCCAAAAGUGUUUAAACAUCGCCACCGGCCACCCAUCCGGCCCCGGAGCUGUGUCUGAUUUCAUGCUAAGGAGUGCAUCGUCUAUCUCCUUAGGGAGAAACGCGAGCCCCAACUCUUCGUUCUCGCUAUCUAGGACCUUUUGAGACAGGAGCCAGAUGUCCGCUCGCAGACGCGCGCGUUGAGCCUCGUCGGUCCCCAUCAGACUAAUAUAAAAGUCGUAGAUAUGUUGGGUAAUCUCCGAUUGCUGUAGAAGUAGCCCCUGCUCCGUCUGCAACCUAAGAAUUGAGCAUUUCCUACGCCGGCCAAUCGCGUACGCGUGGAAAUACUUAGUGUUUGCAUCGCCUUUGAGCGUCCACUUGAGGCCUCCCCUACGCCUCCAAUAUUCCUCCUCAAAUUGCAACAGUGCUUCGACUUGCCCUUCUAAGGCAUAUCGAUGCUUCCCGGAAGUUGCUAGCUUGGCAAUGCGUAUAAAAAGGCCACCGCCCGGCCGGCCACUCUCUCACGCCGUAGCUAGCAUCCAGAACAGGUCGAGGAACGAGGUCCGUCGCGGCGCGCGUGUCUCCAAGCAGAGGCCGCCGGCCGGCUCUGCUCCGGUCGUCUCCAACUACGAUCUUGGACGGACGGCGGCAUACUAGUCCGACAUCCGUCACGGGGACACAGCCGCCGGCACGGCGCACUGGAGGCCCUGCGCGCGCGCGGUUGGACACAGGUACGUUAUUCAUCCGGCCUGCGCGCGCGCGGUUGAACACAGGUACUAGCUGUAGAUCAGAGAGGAACUUCUUCAUUUACCUUUUGUACUAGUUGAUCUGAAUCUGAUUGCUAGCUAGCUGGAUAGGAUUUUAUGUAAGCUUAAUUAGCUUGGCAGUUAAUUUGGUGCAUGCAUACAUGCACGCAGUGGCGGAGCGUGAUGAGCAACUAAGAGGAGUCAAUCUCUUUUCAAUCCAAAAUCAAAAUAUGCAUGAAAAUAUGUGCGACUAAGAUCUAAUGCUCCAUGGCAGUAGCAUACACCCGAAUGAGGGCCUGUUUGGUUUCAAAUAAGUCACCAACUUAUACGUCGAAAAGUGAAAAAAGUGACUUAUUUUGUCAAACAGACCCAACUUAUAAGUCACCCCAACUUAUAAGUCAUAAGUUGUUCCACCCCAACUUAAAACUUAUAAGUCACCCCCUUUUGCGUGGAUCUCACCACCUUUACAUUAAAAAACAAGGUGAGAAGGUGUAGUCAGGUGACUUAUAAGUCAGAUGAUAACCAAACAGGCGUGACUUAUAAGUCAGGUGACUUAUUGGAACCAAACAGGCCCUGAGAAAAGUGGAAUAGUAGAAUAGUUUGCAUGCUGUCAAAAAAGUAGAAUAGUUUGCAUUGCAGCUACCAUCCUGCUGCUAGGUGACAUGAUUGACUCUGCAGUGCAUACACAUGCAUCUAUUAUUAUUUUUGGUCGGUCAUAUAAAAUAGAACAAAUAGGUAUAAACAAUUAAAUAUACACAUGAAAGGGCUGUUUGGUUGCCGGCCGCACCUUGCCACGCCAAAGGUGCGGCGCGCCACAGCUCCCUAGGCUGCUGUUUGGUUUCCUACGAAGGUUAGGCUCACCACAAUCUACAGUGUAUUUUGCGGCAGACUUCUUCACCAAAUGUGUGGUGCUUGUUUUGUACGCCACACUCUGCAGCGCGCCACACAACUGUGGCUCAAUAAGUUUGGCAAUUUAAGUAACCAACCAAACAGGCCUGAAGUAUAUAUAUCUGGAUUUAUCGUGCAUGCAUGUACAAUAUAUAUUACUUGAUGAAACAUGUGUUUUUUUCAUCAAUCCAUUUACAGUACGUGGUAUUAAAUGAACACAUUAACUCUAGCCAUUAUUUCAGUUUCCUAUAUUGGACAAGUGAAGUGUGGUAGCUGCUCACUGACACAAUGGAACAACUUGACAUUUGGGCGUCCAUCUUGGCCGAUCCUCUUCCAAGCCAACGGGUACUCACUUUGUUGAUCAGAUCACAUAUCUAUGUUAGAGACGAUGACUAGUUGGAUGAAUAGUUGGAUGCUUGGGUUUAUUUCAAUAUAAAAGUGGAGCCAGCCUAUAUGUCUAAACUAAAAAAUCUUAAGUUAUUUGAAAGAAGAGUAUAAGCACAACCAAAAUGGUCAAUAAAAAGUAUUGAAGCAUACUCCAUGGUUUAUGCAAGCUUUAUUUUAACUGGAUGUAAUAUAUGUCAACAAGCAUAGUUCAUAUACGAUCCCCACUCUUUAGAUCUUAUCAAAAUUGACUUGGAUAUAGAGUUCGGAGUAAAUUGCAAAAAACCACCACAUUCGUGGACCCUAAAUCAGAAAACUGCCACGUUUCAUUUUUUUUUUUUUGCAAAAACACACCGCCAUUGUACUGACAAAUUGCAAAAAACGUUGAUCAGUCAAUAAGCAGCGAUGGGUCCCACUUGGCAGGCUGACAUGGCACCAAGUUUUCACACCGUUUUACUAGCCCAUUAAAAGGUUCCCAGGGCCCACCCGUCAGCUUCUUGGCUUCUUUCUCUUCUCCAGAGCCUCUUAUCCACGGAUGAUGGCCUCGCCGGCGCCGCUCCCCCGCGCCUCACCUGCUGGCCAAGCCUUCCCUCCCUCCCCUUCCAUUGCCGGCAACCACGGCAGUUCCCGUGCUUCCCGACGGAGGCAGGGCCGGACGGAGGCUCGGUGGUCACGGGCUCACGGCGGCUGGAGGUAGCGGCGGUGCUGUCGUAGGUCGGGUCGAGCUCCCCCACGCCGAGCUCGCCGGUGACCUGAGGCCAACACGAAGAGCUCCCCGACCUCCAGUGCUCCUUAUUUCCCAACCCCGCGACCCGCCCCAUACUCGAUUAUCCCCGUCGCUGUUGCAAACCUCGGCCCCGCCAUCGACGAAGUUCAUGGUUGUCGCGGCCAACGACCACCGCAAAUCACUGAAACUUGCCGAAUAGACUCGUCGUCGUCUGAAUACUCUCUUCCCCAGAGGAAUCGGCGUGAGGAGCCAGGAACGGAGGAACCGUCGGCGUCGCUUUCAUCUUCUCUGCCUCCGGUGGAGCUCCGCGGCGCGCUGAUCUCCUCUACAACUAACCCAUGUGAUCUCCCUCAACUACAUCUACUUCGCAAGGACGUGCAGAAGGCACUGAUGCCUCUUCCUCGAGCUCUCUGCAUCCAAGGCCGCCCCCGCCCUUCACCUCUGCUAUGUCAUCCGCCGCCGACGUUGCGGCUAACUGCCAUGCUCCGCUGCUGUCCCCGUGUCCUGGACCCACCUAGGCGUGCUAAUCCAUUGAUUUCUGCCUGCACAUUGGCAGCUCACAACCCCACAGUAAACACACCGCGCGGCGAAGCUUCAGAUUUGCUCUAGAUCCAGCUCGUCGCCGCCCUCGCAGUUCAUGUCGAUGGCCACCUCCGGCGCCCGUUGCUCCUUCCCAUCGCGUGCAUGGCCACCGCCACGGCGUCGGGCGGCUCGACGAGGAGCAGGUGGUGGCGGCGCGUCCAAAAGAAGAAGGUUGCGGUAGCCCAGCAGCAAGGGGCGGCGGCGCCGACGAGCGUGCGGGCGCGGGCGCGCUGUGGCCUCCGGGGCGCGACUGGUUCGAUUUUGACUGGUCAAACCUGACCAGUUAGCGCCGUUAUUCCCUGCGUGACGGGCGCCGUCUCCCCCUCCGCCAGGUGGCAUCUGACAGUGGGACCUAGCGGUCAGUUUUGCAUCAAACGACUCUAAUCAACCUAGCAGCGUUUUUUGCAAACUGUCAGUACAAUGGUGGUGGGUUUUUGCAAAAAAAGAAACGUGAUGGUUUUUGCAAUUUACUCUACACUUCGCAACAGGGCUCGUCGAAAUCCCGACACAAUAACAACAUAUAUUUCAUUGUUCUUGAUGACAGCCGGAGAUUAAAGUUAACUCAACAUAUGUGGAUUACGGCACCAUGGACUUUCAAGCACUCUUGGAAGGACCCCAUGAUUUGGACAGAUGGCUGAAAGGUAAGAUGUUUAAUUCUUGUGGUCUAUUCCAAACUUUGUUACACAAGCAAGCAAUUUAUCAAUGGUUCAACUUUCAAACCAAAUAAUGUAUGAUUCCUUGCAGGUGCAUUCAUUCCUACUUAUAUAAAGGAGGCGAAUUUAACUCAUGAGGCAAGAUUUUCGCACAUCCAAAAGUACAAACUUGCAAAACAAAUGAACGUGGCAAAUGGCAUUGAAAAACUGUUUCAUCAUUGUAGAAUGAAUGCAAAUUUUAUUCACCAACUAGGGACCAUGGCAUGACAAUACAAACACCUAUGGCUGAGAAAGAGGAGGCCACUGCCACCACGACUCUCAAUGGCGGAGGAGGAGAUGAGAGAGGGAGGAGGGGCCAUGUACCCGCUGCCUUGUCACCGGAGAAGCAGAAGGCUUGCGGCCACCGCCACACCACCGGAGGAGGGGACCUGCGAUCUACUAGGUGUGAAUUAUGAAGGCUACAUUUGUUGCAAUGUACCAUUUGUCAUUGUCUCAAGUAGUUAAACACAUAUGCUAUGUGCUUCAGAUUACAUAGCAAAAAGUGGUUGGAGGCAUGGAAGUCGUGUGAGAAGUGCACGUGAGAGAGGAACAUGGUCGAUAAACAUAGAACCAUGCUCCCGAGACUUGCGUUCUACAAGUGAAGGCCAAAAACAUGGGAGCAGAAGAAACAAUGACCAUUGGACAUCUGAAGAGGUGAAAGAACUAGUGGAUGGCGUAUCUGUAUAUGGGGUUGGACCAUGGACUAAGUUGAAGAAUGAAAGGUUUCCAAUAUCAAUUCGAACAGCGGUGCAUCUUAAGGUAUAGUCAAUUGGUGAUUAAUUGCACUAAAGCACAAGCAUUACAUGCUCUCUCUGCUCAGUGGUUUUUUGUAUUUCACACUUUCUCUGUUCAUCUUUUAUUUAUCUAUAUAUAUUUUAUUGUAAAAGAUGCUAAUUUUUAUGUUUUGUUUAAUCUUUCAGGAUAAGUGGAGAAACCUAGUGAAAGCCUUCACGGUCAGGCCCACAUCUAAAAAUAAGAUUUUAUAUCAUAACUUUAUCAAACUCAUCAUGGAGCAGCACUGAUUUUUUCAUCUCUUGCAUUUCUUGAAUUCCAGGGAAAUGUGAAAAGAAGGAUCUCGCCUCGUCUAGAUAAGGAUUGCGUCGAAAAGAUCAAGAGGCUAGCAGCUGAUUACCCUCGAAAAUGAAGUAGCACUCGUGAAUGCUACGCGAAACAUCAUACAGUACUUUCGGUGUAGCAGUGACCCUGCAACAAGAGUUCUGUUAUUUUUCCAGAACUGUGAAGCAUAGGCUGUCAUAUUAAGUGUGUCGAGAGUAGAGAGUAGACUGAACCAUCUGAAUGGAACAGCCUCUAUCUCCUGCCUGACUGCCCUGUGAAGUACUAUUUUACUAUAUUAAUGAAAUGGGAAUAGCGCUCGCUCCUCCGAUCUGUUUGCCUUGCCGGUUUUGCUACAGUGCUGUAAUUAGCUUGACCUUUGGUUUUGCUACAGACCUGUGAAGUACUCCCUCUGUAAACUAAUAUAAGAGCGUUUAGAUCACUAAAGUAGUAAUCUAAACGCUCUUAUAUUAGUUUACGGAAUGGCACAUUUUGCUGGAAGCUUAUGGACCUGUGAAGCUUAAAUGAUAUCGUCUAGCACUGCUUCAAGCACCAGGUUUCUUCACUACUCUGCUUGUACCUUGAGCGACCAUCAGGUGCCGGAAUGGCUGCUUGUACCUUGAGGCCAGCCAGCUAGGGUAGUGUCUUUCUUGCUGCUGUAUGGUAUGGUUUGUUGUGCAUCCUGUCACUCACUCAGCCGGUCUGGUUGUUUGCACCGAUAGUCUCUUGGGUUUCAUCCAUUCUGCAAAAACUGGAGCCUGGAUACGUCCCUCUUGAUCUUCUCUACAAAGGAAUUCAGUAUGUACCCUUGAAGAUUUUAAUAGACGUUCAGGUUGUUUUCGAGCUUAAUUAGAAAUGGAUACCAUAAAAGGUUUAUAGUUCAGCACUUACUUUAAAUUUUAUUUAUGGUGAAGAAACAACACAAUUGUUCAGGUGUAAACCUUUUGCUCAAUGCCUGAACCUGAAGAAAUGCUACUAUUGUUCAUCAGAGUCAGAGACCAUGCAUUUUUGUUCAAUUGCCUAAUGUGUGUUUGAGUUACAUUUCCACCACCUGAUCAAACCGUAACAGCUAUAUAUAUACACGCGUAAAAAAAAGCACAGCUAUAUUAUAUAUACACCAUGGCUGGCUAUACAAAGAAAGUCUGGAUGUGAUACUCAGCUAUGGCUUUUGCCUGGAGAACAUGAUGAAUGACCUCUGCACCUUGCUGCUGUAGUUGACCAGGCCACAGGAUCUGCACAGGUCUUCCAGCUCUCCUUCAAUGAAGAAGUUGUAGCUGCUGUUCACUGGCCCAACAAUCUGCAGCGCAUAGCAGAGAAGGUGCAUCAGACUAGGUGCCAUGCAGAAAAGAAGUAGUAGUGCUAGAUGUUCGACGACUUCUUUUACCUGUCUCAGUGGCUUUAGUGCAUCGAUAGAGAAUAGGCCGCUGUUCGUGGGGGUGGAUAAGAAGGUUGUCGCUACGAAUACACCGCCGGGCUUCAGCACACGGCUGAUUUCAGCUAUCUGGUUUUCAAACAGCAGUGGGAAAUGUCAUGGUGAUGAAUAAGUUCAUAUGACAAAAAGAUAGGUACACAGGUCAGAUGCCCUGUUCCUGCGCAAAGCUGUUCAAAGCAAACUAACUAAGCACUAAACUAUCGUGGUUGACUUUAUACACGCAUUCAGCGGUCAAUAAUUAACAGAAAUACAGAAUAUUAUUUCUCAUGUAAUCCCGAAGUGGUUUAAGCUUUCUAGAUUGGCUAAUUGUUCAAUGGACUCUGGUGAAUAAAAUAGCAAUUCCGAAGACACCAGUUUUAAUAUGUUAAGUUAUGAAUCACGUACAAUAUUGAAUCAAAAGUGCAAACGAGACAGGUACUAUACCGCAUUUGAAGGGGAUGGCCAACAGUGGAUAGCGGCUCCAGCAUGAAUGGCAUCAAUUGAACAUGAAGCAAAAGGGAGCCUCGAAAUAUCAGCCCUUACAAGUGCGAGGUUCCUGCAGAACCAAAAGAAGAAAACAGAAAGUAUUUGCUGUACUGUACUUAGAACAAAAAGAACAUUCUGAGGUAGUAACAGAUUGAAGUAAGGGAGCAGAUUAUCACAUAUCAUUCAAUUACAUACUGAACACAUAGAUCCAAGUCUUUUUUGUUAUUAAACUAAAAUAAUCACUAGUUUCCACACAAAAAUUUGUGAUGGCCCAAGUUGUCUACUUGAUGGUUUGUUGGAGUUGGAUGUUGCAAGACAUAUUUUCAUGCCUCACAGGAAACGCUCAAAAUAAGCACGAAGGAAAGCUCACGCGUUCAUAGGGGUUUCUUCUUGUUUGAUGUAGUCAUAGCAUUGGCGGAGCAUAUUCUCAGAAAAGUCCAAAGCAAUCACAGAUGAGUAGGCCCCAGAGCUUGCAAACUUCCUUGAAAACAAGCCACUGCCGCAGCUGACAUCAACGAGUAUACCACCAGCAACUGAUUGGAACUGAUAAAGCAAACGGUACAUCAGAAUUAUACGCAUAAAAACAUGACUAUUAUGUAGACAUGAAAGAGUGGUGAUCAUGUUUUGUUGCAACACCAAAACAUGAAGCACCAAAUCUUACCUGCGACGGAUGUAUGAAUUUACAGGCCAGGUGUGUAAGAACUUAGUGAGCAGCAACAACUUAAGGUUAUGCAAUAGAAGAGUGAGGCGUCCUAGAAAUCUACCUCUUCGUCGCGGCCAGGGAAGCCACUCCGAUUGAAGUUCUGACGCCACCCCCUCUCGUAAAGAAACGAGACAAGUGGACUCCUGAAUAGCUCAGUUCUAGCAGGCUUGAGUUCACUGUAUUCUUUUAUUCCUGAGGUGACAGUGAGAUCCAAGAAGACAUCUUUGCUGGUGAAUGACUUGUUGCAUUUUGAACACUUGAAUCCGGACCUAUAAAUCGCUGGCCUGGGACACACGUAGAAGGGAAAACAAGAUAAAUCUUAAUCCAGCCAACAGAUAUGCAUGAGAGAUGAAAGAACGUAACUCAUGAACUUUAGACGUACAGGUUCAUGCCUGGCGGCCCUUUUCUUAUCAGCGGUUCAUAGCAAACAGGGCAUGCGAACACCUCGGUUUUUGAGGCAUCAUUCAGCUCGGUUUUGAUCUCCUGAAACUGUAAGCAUAGUGAGCGUCAGUUUCACACGGUAUGAAUAAAGUCCAACCUUGGCAUAACAUCAAGCGCUUACACUUAACACGACUGUAAACUAUGCUAGGAGUAUUAAGCAGGCUGCUUCUUUUCCGAAGCAUACACGAACGAUUGCUAGCAAGAUUAGCUCUUGAGAGUUAAAUAGUGGAAGCUAGAUUCCAGUCAUCCUAUGCAUGUAAGGCAACACAAAUACAGAUAUCAGCAGCCAUAUAAAUAUAACCAUUUAGCUCAGUCACUAAUCCACCAUGCGAGGUUCAAUCUUUGCAUCUGGUGGCCAAAUAUCAGCAGUGCAGGCCAUGACUGAAAAUAUCUGCUAAACUUACGCGUAGCUCUCAACUGAUUACUCUUCGAGCAAAUAUAAAGCCCGGUUCCUGCCAAAAGCCCCGACUAGGCAUAACACCAAACAUUUGGUGUGCGACAAUCGUUCCCCCCUUUUUCUAGCACACACACAACGUGUUCCCUUGCCUUCCCUUAGACGAGAAUCAGCAAGAGGCGUAGGUACGUACCGGGUCGAGGGCGAUGGCCGCCGCGGCGGCGACGGCCACCCGGCGAGCCGGCAGCGGCAGGCCUGGGCUGCGACAAAGGCGGCAGGGUACGCGCGGGGAUGGAGGGACGGGGAGGAGGAGGAAGCCGCCGCGGCUCUCACUGCGAGCUCCAUGGGAGCUGCAAAGCAAUUGCAGCCUGGAGUGUGGAGACGCGCCGGGGAAGAGAAGGAAAGAAAUGCUGUUGGGCAAGCUCGGGCAGAGGAGAGGAGCAGGGGUGUGGUGGUGGUGGUGGGCUCAGGCGUGGCGCCAGCUGCGUCCGUUCGGGCCUUCGGCCGGCCGUUGCAUCCCGAUAUUAGGGGCAGCACUCUUGCGCCGGUCGAUCGGCUGGAUUCCAGAUCGGUCACCUCCUGAGCCCUUGGAUUCGCACAACUAGAGUCGUUGGAUCAAGUUAACCCCUUCACACGCACGACUCGUGCUCUCUGCUGCACGCGCACUCCACACUGGGAAAAGAAAAGGGGGACGCCGGCCCGCAUCCCAACCGAGUGUUGGUCUUCGACCUCAGCAACGCCGGCUGCCACGGGAGGCGGCACGCAGAACCCGCUCGCCGCUCGCAUCACCACUAGAUCCUCCUCGCAGCACUCGUUGUCGCCCCUUGUAGCACCCGUUGUCCCCGCUUCCGGCGAUCGAGCACGAGGUCGUCGCCAUUGCAAUGCAGCCCACCGCAGCAUUCCUUCUCCGAUGGUCGUAGCAUCUGUCGUGGCCAGUCCCAACAUCCUCGAUCGACACCGGGACGAUGAGCGUGUACUCAUUCGACUGCACUUGACGUAGUUGUCAACAAGCGGGUAGCUUCAGACUUCAUGGGAGUAUCAGAAGUACAACUCAGCAAAAAAAAAAAAAAACGUUCCCUAGUAGCCACCAAAUUGCAAAACCCGGAAUUUCUUUCCAGUUUGCACUGCCCCCCUCCACCCACCCUUGCAACCGCGCAGCGGACGCACUGCCAACCACGCUACCAAACAAACAUUCAAAGAGAAAAAGGGGAGGAGAUGUAAAUUUCCUUCACAGUUCAUCUAGCAGAAGACAACCCCAUUGUUCAAAUGCUUCUUCUUCUUGUACAUUUACUUCAGUUACAAUGGCGAACAACCGGGACAUUGACUUGUAAACUGACAAAAAAAAUCAUUUACGCACGUAUGGUAGCUGCUACUGGUAGGAUGGUACCUCCUGAAUUGCUUACAAAAUCAGAGAGACAGAACCUACACAAGUAAAAAACGACGGUUGCUAGCUACUAUGAUUCAGUUCAGGCGAUGGCGACCGUGGUGAGACGCCGGGCAGCCGGUGUCGGCAAGGGCGGAAGUCGCGAGUUGAAGUUCCUGUACCGGAAGGCGUCGUCGUCGCUGCCGCCCUCGUCGAAGUUGAGCGCAUAGCUGAGCGGGUCGUACCUGAACUCCCCCAUGGCUGCCACGCAUCGCCUCCUCCUGGCCCUGCCGCCACCGGUGUGCGGCCUCCCCGCGCCGGUGACCGGUGAAGAAGGCGAGCCGAAGCAGCCGCAUACGGUGGUCCGCAGCUUGUGGCGCAGCUCGGGAGGCGAGUAGGGCGACGAGGACUCCACCGCGUCCAUGGGGACUCCCUGCUCUUGUACUUGUGGAGUUGGAGAUGAUGUGGUUGGUCGAGUUGUGAGGUGUGUGAUUCACAUUUGACAGUGUGCUCUGCUGCUGGUGUAGCAGAGCACACUGUCAAAUGUCAAUCAGAGACUAAACCAGCGAAUACCAAGCCUUGUCUCAUUUUCAUGAGUCACGCUGGCAGGAGGUGAGAACAGAAGAAAAGUAGAAACAGCCAGGGAAAAAGAAGAAGAAAAUGGAAACCUUUCACUGUCAUUGCGAACAAAGCUUCUUAAACUGUAAGUAGCCAUGCUGGCACCCUGAUCUCGCAAAUGCUGACCACACAGGGUAAGCCUGGACAGAAGGGAAGUCAUAAGUAAAAAUUAUGUAUGUGUAUCGAUAUAGCAAUCAUUCACUCAAAAAUUAAAGUUAAACAACAUGGUACAAUUUCAGGACAUUUUUGGGACGUCAGAUAAACCCGUUCCCAUUAAUUUAUCAAUAAGAGUAGCCUCCAGCAACAUUCUAAAGUCAUGCAAAAGGAGAAAGCUCAAAAGCCUGCUCCCUCUCUCCACUAUUCUGCAAUUGGGAACAAAAACAAGUCCGUAGCCAAAAAGUAGGGAACACGAAAACUGAUUAGGAAGAUAAAAGAUUCCUUUUCAAAACAAGCAGUGUUUCUUAUUUCCAAAAUUGACCACCAUAUUAGGUUGCCGCCAUAAAAAAAAAUAGGUGAUCAACUUUCUCCUUCGUAGUACAAAAACAACACCUUGUAUGCGCAACUUGUGUAUAUAGAUACCACAUAACGAAUUCACACCAAUAUAAAUUUCUGGGAGAAUCUCAUGUGGCCAUCCCGUAAAAUAAACACCCCCUUGAGCAGUACUAAGCAUAGCUUAUGCCAAGAAUCAUUCAAGUUGACCAAACAUACUUGACUAUGACUGAAUCCAAGACUUUAAAUUCUAAUUAUGUACUUCUAAUGAGAAGUCCAAGAAAUCUGCUUCGACAAUACCAGGCACAGACAAUUACAUUAUAACUGGAAAUUAUACUAAAUAAUGAAAAGCACAAAGACUCAUCUUCCAUCCAGGGGUCAACAAACUAUAUAAUCUAAGCAAUUGUGCACCGUAAAAACAUGAAUGGUAAAACAAGGAAGGAUAAGGUCUGGCAGUACACUUGAAGUAAUUACCUGUCCAGAGGCCAUCGGAAAUUAUCAGUUGAAGCAUUUCCGAAGUAAGAAAUGGGAGUACCAGCCUCCAAGAUCUGCCGAAAUAAAUUGACCACAACCAGUAUGAACAUCACCUGCACAAAAUUUCGGAUUGAGAUGAUAUCAGGAUAAUGUAAUUGUUUGGUGUAAGAAGGAACUGUCCAUGAACGGGAAAGACAUAUAGGGGAACCUAGCCGAGCACCAUACUAAUGGAUGUUGUGUUGCCGGAGUGGAAAGAAUUAGUGAAGAGUGGUAGGGGCAUAAAUACACGUACCUGUAACGAGUCAACGUAAGGAUGGGCACAUCACCUGCCAUGAAUGCCUGCAGAGAAACUGAAGGAUGGUGGAUUCUUCAAAUCCCAGCGGGGCAGUUGUGCUCAGCCAAACAGCCAUGGUGUCGGCCUACAUCUCCCGCGCAGGCUCUCCUUGCCCUAAACCGUGGGACCGAUCGAUACAUCACCUCCUCUCUCUAGCAGAGACCGUCCGCGUCAGCUCGCUCCCCACCCCCGUCUCUCUCUCUCUCUCCCUCUCCCUCCUCCUCUCCCUCCCUCCCUCCUUUCUCCCUCUCUCUCUCUCUCUCUCUCUCUCUCAGCCUAGUUACCAUAGGGCUUCAAUUUUUCCUCUGGAAAAGCAGCCCUCUAGGACUUUUUGGCCCAGGAAUCAGAAUGUAUGGUGAAAGCCGGAGUAGACAACAGACUAACGUUCAAGGUUGCCCAAGUGACGAAAAUGGAUGUCCAGAAACGCGCAGGGCGUUAGACGGUUGGAAAGCUGCUCAGUUUUACUGUCCUAAAAUGUGGCUAAAUUUCCAUAUAUCAGAAACAUAGCUCGUCACGACAUAGUUCAUUGACCGCGAACGAAGGCCUAGAUUUUGUUUGUUAUUGUGUGAAUCACUGAAUCGAAAAUGACCUGAGCGGGUUGUGAUAACUCGGGUUGCCAAUUUCGCUGCUUGUUUAACAGAAGAAAAUCGCAUCUUCUAACAUUUUCCUAGAGUGUUUACAAAAGCAACUGUUGAAAAAGCACAGUUCAACAACCACAAACCAGAGAAUUUCUUGAACGGACUAAGCAAAUCUAUACCAAUAUAAGAAAACAUGAGUUAGGAUGAGGUUCGUUUGAUCUAAGCUCACCAAAAAAUAUAUUUAAAUUUUAUAACCAUCAAUCCCAUGGUUGUGGGCAAAUAUUAUACAUUUGUUUGGCUAAGCUCUGUUAGGAUGGUUGUCACCAAGAAAACACCAAUAUGCAUGGCUUUAAAGUAUAUGUUUGGCUAAGAAGAACUGGCGAGUAUACAACUGCAUCUGACCAUCGGAGUGCUACACUGAUAAAUAGAAAGGCUAACUUCUGUCCCAAUGCUCUUUUUUGCGACGAAAAUCUCAUAGCAGCGCUUUUUAAACUAUAUGAUUUCAUCGGCAUGGACAGGAUGAACCCGCAUCAGAAAAUCCCGGUGCAUCUUUUUCAUCCUCGUUCACCUCUUUGGUUCUCCCUUCACCACCGUUUCCUUCUAUUCUCUUGAGCUCAUCUCCCACCUACAUGCUAAGAGUCACCACCACGAUGUAGGCUUCUAGGAUCUCCUUCCUACUCCUAAUAGUCGCCACCAGGAUGUAGCGUCAGAAUUCAAGUGCAUGGAUCCCUAACUCCGGCAAAGGAACAUUCAUAUAAAAGUUUGAAUCAUCAUUUUUGUCAAGGGAUGUAAUAUAUUUUUGUGUUGUUAUUAUUUUGCUAGACACAACCUCAGCCUAAGGUUGACAAAGGGAUAGAAAUAGAAAUAUGUUCUCUCCAAAGGACAAUAUAGGGAUCUCACAAUUUCAAUAGAUGUUCCAACAUCUUCUGCGCGCCAGAAUUCUCCGCAUCCUUUACCCUUGACAUCUUAUCACUUAAAGUCACCCAAAUACCACCUUGGGUUUCUACCUGAACGGAGUAAACAAAUGUCCUAUCAUGCGCCAGGCCUUCUUCCUUCUCUAACCUGAAAAAAAGAAAACAAUGAAGCAACUGUGUAGGGCUGAUCUAGGCAAAAUGUCAAGUUAGAUAAUGCAACGAGUGGUAAGCAUUCAAAUCCCCAAUGUGUCACUAAACUUUGCUGGUCAUCUCAACUAAAACCAUCAGUUAAAUUAAAAUAAUUCUCAAUCCACCACCCAAACAUAAUGGCAUUACAAUCCAAAGCUAUACUUUUACUUCCAUGUUGCACCUAGUGGUUUCUGAUGAAUUGAAUUCUCACGAUGAAAGAUUGACUGAACCAAUAUUCAUACCUUCUCUCCAGGGACAUAAAGAUCAUCAAACCAUGAUAUGCAUCAAAAGACAAAAUAUGUUUGGAUAGAAGUAGUACAUGGAUGAUGACCACUGGUGUGACAGGGGCUGCAACUCAGCCCAGAUCUUAGUGAACAUGCAAGAAACCGGCGCGCCAGAUGCACCCUAUGGGCCAUAGGACGAGGCUGCAGACCGACCCUCCUGGUCAGAUCUAGCAGAGGGCGGCAACUCUAUGCGUGGGCAAGCACCUCCCAGCCCAAAGAACCGACUGACCAAGGUCAGAGGCCAUGACCGCAUCGCCGCCACGCGGCGACGAUGGAGGACAAUAGCUCCACUGCAGAGGCCAACAAACGAGGCCAUCGACUGGCCUUCUUGGACAGAUCCAGCGAUGCACAUCACCUCCAUGCCUCGGCGGGCAUCUCACGUCCCAACGCAACAACAGGCCGAGGCAGCGGCCAAGAACGUGUCGCUCGUGCGCGCAACACCACGGGAGUUGCACGCCACCAUGCCCGAGUGGAACCCCACAGUUCUCCGAGCCGCGUAGCUGACAACGCCAUGCGCGGAGGUACAGAGAGGAGGAGCAAGGGUAGAGGGAGGGAGGAGCGCCCCGCCGCCGUCGUGAGCCAGCCUGUGGCCGGUGACGGCGGUGCGGGGAGGACACGAAGAGAGUAGCGGUGGCGAUGAGAAAACCUAACCCACAACCCACCCAAGAGGGCGAUGCGAGGUCCUCGCAAGGAGUUUUUUCACGUCGUCGUUUACUGCCCAUUUUCUGAAAAAAGAGGGAUAAUAAUACUACUAUUGAGCAAGAACAAUGAAGGAUCAGGCUGCCAACAUGUAUGGAAGUUAGGAUUUUCUUGAUUUGUUCAAUAUAUUUCUCUACACGAACACGGUAAGGUCAAGACUGAAGGUGAGGAAGGAUGGUGACGGGUGCAUGGAAAGGAAGAUGUGUGAGUGGGUGAUUUCUGUGUGUGGGUGGGGACAGCAUGAAGUAGGCUAGGCGCGCAAAAACAGAUAUGGGAGCGAGAUAGGAGAUGAAUGUUACAGGAAGUAAGAGAGGAGAAAUGUGGGCAUGGGCUACUAGGAAGGAACACAAAAGCGAUGGAGGGAGUGGGACAAUGCCCGGAGUAACAGCGGUGGGCAGGAAAAAGAAUGGGAUAAAGCAAGGAUACAUGCCCAUCAAAUUUUCUAUUUUUCUGAUUGGUUAAGAUAGUAGCUGACUGCAAGGUGGCUCAAUGCAUACAUACAAAUAAUCAUGUCAAGUAGCUGCCGACUUAGUCAAAAUAACUUUGUUUCGAAACUAACAAAGUGCACAUUUUUUACAAUUCAAGGUAAUGUUUUAGACGGUUUUGGAGUUCUAGGUUGAAAAGACAUACUCAAACCAUAGUUUAAGGUUGAAAAGUAUCACUUUUUUCAUUUCAGAAAUGUCUUAGCACUAACUAAGAUGCUAAAAUGUACAAUGAAUGCUGAACUGAUUUUAUGAGUUCCCAAGGACGGUAUAUAUAGUACAACCAUGAUUCAGACAAAAUAAAGAAAUCAUUCUGGUUUGAGUAUUAAAUCAACAUGAAAGCUUCCCCAACAGCAUUAGCAUAUAGUUUUUUUAGUUUAUGGAGUAUGGCAUUACUCUUUGCAAUCUGAAGCUUGAAUUCCCAGCAAACCAGGACUUAAGAGAAACAAAACAAGUUUAAUCUAAAUAGUUACUUUUGUUUUCCACUUUUAUGCUUUUUAAACAUACCUUAUUNNNNNNNNNNNNNNNNNNNNNNNNNNNNNNNNNNNNNNNNNNNNNNNNNNNNNNNNNNNNNNNNNNNNNNNNNNNNNNNNNNNNNNNNNNNNNNNNNNNNNNNNNNNNNNNNNNNNNNNNNNNNNNNNNNNNNNNNNNNNNNNNNNNNNNNNNNNNNNNNNNNNNNNNNNNNNNNNNNNNNNNNNNNNNNNNNNNNNNNNNNNNNNNNNNNNNNNNNNNNNNNNNNNNNNNNNNNNNNNNNNNNNNNNNNNNNNNNNNNNNNNNNNNNNNNNNNNNNNNNNNNNNNNNNNNNNNNNNNNNNNNNNNNNNNNNNNNNNNNNNNNNNNNNNNNNNNNNACUAGUGGUUUCCAUACUGCAUCUGAGUGAUGGUCUCGACAAGUCUGUUCCAGACCUACCGAGGUCAAAGUACUAGGUUGUUUAACAGAAAUGACCAAAAGUUACUACCCUAAGAUAAAUGGGAACAAAGGUGAAACUACAAUAAAGAAACAAAAUAAAAUGUGCAGCGGUGAAACAGUUCUAAAGAUGCCCAGAACAAAUAUAUGAUAAACAAACAGUUGUACUGUAGGUGUGGGAAAGAGGUGCCUCAUCUGAGGAGCAUUGCAGGAAAAGUUCAACUAAUGAACAGGAUAUAUAAAACUAAAAACUGACAGAGUAGUAAAGAAUCUUACUUAAAGAUGGGUUUUGGCCAAUGCUUCCUGCUGCACUGCUCAAUAAGCUUCUGCUUGCAUUCCCUAAGCUCUCCAACCUCAACCCCCAAUCCAUGGCCAACUCCGGUUGUCAACACUUGCUGAUUGCCUCCACCAAGAAGCUUGCUUAAUGCAUCCCUGGUGGCAUUGAGCUUAGCGAUUACCAUCUGCUCUGAGGAACCCAUCCCAACAAGUGCCCCACCAACAAAUACAUUUACAACCACUGUUCCACCCUUCUGCCAAGUCUUGAAUUUUACAUCUUUCCCAUGUUUCUGGCACAGUUCAUGCAACGUAGACACAGGUUGCUCGUCUAUUGUUUCUGCCGUGACAAUGGGCUCAAAGAGGAACCUUGUUACCUACAUAAUAAACAGUGAUAUCAUUAUCACCACCCAUUAUUCUAGUGAACUACUCUCUUCGUAAAUAAAUAUGUCGUUAGAGAGCAGAGAUCCAUUUUUUUUUUAACUUUCACAAAUAUUAUUGGUAAAGCUAUCUUGGAUUGGUCAUACCAAAAUGAAAUCAUUCGAUUCUUCAUGGAAAGUUACAUAGAUUUUUAUCAGCGUAUUAUGACUAGAAUUAUUAGUUAAGUUAUUUUCUGGAAACCUCAGAUCAACAUAUUAAUGAAUGGGAAAUAACAUGAAAAAUGGAUUACAAACCUUCCAGAGCUUCUCAAGAUUAAAGUUGCAAUCCACAUAGACAGCAGCGGCAAUGGCCUCAACUAUAUCAGCAAGCACCUUGGGAGCCUUAAAUACAGUGCCACCAUAGGGCGUAGUGCCAAGGUCAUCCUCUAAUUCUUGUUUCACUGACUGGAUAAACUGUCCUACCUGCAUAAAGGUAUACCCAGUAAGAUAACAAUGGUAGCCAAAAACAGUUCAUAUAAUAUCCACAUCUCCAAGAGAUAACAUCAAUCACUUAACAAUUGAAAUGUAUUAUGCCUUACGAACCCGAACGGAGCGGCGGGAGUACUUACCAAUUCCAGUUUCAGCAUUCCUAAAUACAGAAAUAAACUUAUUCUUGCAUCACUAAAUCAAAACUAAGAUGUGGCGAGAGCUGCUGUAGAUACAGUAGAUGUUUAGCUCUAUGUUUUGCCCUCAAAUUAAGCCCAUCGAACCGCUCGAGCGGACAGCCAAACGUGGAUGCUUUUAAUAUAUAACAUCUAUAUGUAAAAACAGAGUCCAACAAAUCUAUGACUUCUAACUCAGGGGAGGAGGAUCCGAGGAUGCAUACCAAGAGAUCGAGGCGAGGACAGUUGCGUCGGAGCAGCGGGUAGAGGUCGUGGCGCACGGCGACGCGGGCCAGCUUCUCGGUGGAGAUGUUGGCGGCCCGUAGCGUGGAGAGCACGCCGGGGCCGACUGUGGGGUUGGUGAGGUAGAGGAAGUUGGAGAAGGCGAGGCCGAGCGCCGCGUCCCCGACGAACUCGAGCCUCUGGUACGAGGCCGCGGCGAAGGACUGGUGGGUGAGCGCCUCCUCGAGCAGGGAGCGCUUGUUGAACUGGUACUGGAGAAGCCGCUCCACGCGGGCCGCCGCCUCCUCCCUGUCCGCCACGAAGCCCGGCGGCGGCAGCGUGACGGGGGCCGACGGCGCAGGCGGCGAGGCGCGGCGCUUGCGGGAGCCGGGCUUCAUCAUCUCUCCCUGGUGUGCCGGUGCGCGUGACCGUCUGGCUAGAUCGGAAGGCGGGGAGAUGAAAUUUUGGAGAGGAGGCGCCGCCAAAAAGAAAAAAACAGAGGAGCUCACCUUGCUAGACGAGCUCGUGGUGGCGUCGGCAGCUGCUACGAACUGAGAGGAGGGCGGGGGGGGACGGGGAUCCGGCCGGAGUUUUGGCGGCGUCCGCCGGAGUAGAGUGCCGGCCGGGCCUGUUGCUGCUGCUGGAGACCGGGGCGGGGGCGGGUCACGCCAACGGGAGGAGGAGGGACCCUACCCGCCCGCCAUGACGCCGGAGGGAGCCGCGCCGAGGAGCUGCUCACAAGGGAGCGGCGGCGGCUGCGAGCGGGACUGGGCUGCGAGGGUUUCGCGUGAGCGAGGGGGAGGAAAGGGGAUCCAGGCCUGCGAGCGGGACUGGGCUCUUCGCCUGAUUCUUUUUUUGCGCGUGGGGGUUGCGGACUUGCGGGCCUGCCAGUGGCAUUUUUGUUGUAAUAUGCUCAAAUAAUAGUGUCAUUUCCCUAUACCCCUUCGGGUUUAAGAGCAUCUCCACCCCCGCCUUCUUUUUCGCGGGCGCAAAACAAAUCGGCCAGUCGCGCCCGGAACCCAAAUUUCGCCGGUUUGAGCCGAAAUUGGCGCCGGAGGACCCAGGACGAACCUAGCGCGCUGGGGGAGACCGGUGGCGCCGCGGAAAAGAAAAAUGGCGCGAAAGCAACCCACACCAGAUUCCCCCCUCCCCUUUGGGCCCGCCGAGUCAGCGACUGUGCUUUGUCGUCCUCAUCGCCUCGCCUCGGCUCCCGCGCGAUUCAAUGCUGUCGCCGGUCAACCUUCCAUCAAGACUGGUGGCACAGUAAUGGCGAGCCACCGUCUCGUGUCCCCGCCCUUUCCUGCCACGCGUCUACACCGCUCCCGCCCUCUCGCCGUUAUAAAAGCCAACCUUCGUCGUCGCUCGCCGCACACUCGCCAUCUCUUCGCCUACACCGCUCCAGCGCCGACCAUCUCUUCUCCUCACCUUUCUCGCCCAAAAUUUCGAGGAAAGCGCCAUGGCGGAGAGGUUUCCUGGAGAUGGAGCACCAGCGCCGUGCUCCGGAAGAAAUCGUCGAGUGGCGCCGCGGCCGCGACCAGGGCGGCGUUUUCGUGCUCGACGACAGCGACAAGGAGGUCACUGCGCCGAGCAAGCCGUUCCGCGCCAACGAUCCAGGGCAGGGUUGUAGCCACGCCGCCCCGAAGGACGAGCCGCCAAGCGACGGCGACGAUGACGACGCUGGCGACGACUACACCGUCUUCUACAACCUCCUCGGCAUGAAUUAGGCGUAGUUUUUUAAUGUUUUUAUCAAUGUUUUUUUAAUUCACCAAAAUAUCAAUGAAAUCGCCUAUAUUUCAUCCAAAUUGACAUAAUUUCGUCAAGUUUGGGCGUUUUAAAAAAAAUUGCCUUCUGUCGUUGCGUGCGCGACUAGGAAUCGGUGCCCCCCCCCCCUCCGGCAAAAAUUCCGUCGGCUACGCCCCAAGAGGCACUAUUUUCCCCCAAAAACGCCCUUGGGGGCCGAACGGCUGGAGAUGCUCUAAGUGAGAAGCUGCCGGAAGCACNNNNNNNNNNNNNNNNNNNNNNNNNNNNNNNNNNNNNNNNNNNNNNNNNNNNNNNNNNNNNNNNNNNNNNNNNNNNNNNNNNNNNNNNNNNNNNNNNNNNNNNNNNNNNNNNNNNNNNNNNNNNNNNNNNNNNNNNNNNNNNNNNNNNNNNNNNNNNNNNNNNNNNNNNNNNNNNNNNNNNNNNNNNNNNNNNNNNNNNNNNNNNNNNNNNNNNNNNNNNNNNNNNNNNNNNNNNNNNNNNNNNNNNNNNNNNNNNNNNNNNNNNNNNNNNNNNNNNNNNNNNNNNNNNNNNNNNNNNNNNNUUUCCAUUGUGAAGGGAGUGAGGGUGGUUCGACAAUAAGGGUCUUUUCUCAGCCCGAUCAGCAUAUCGAAUUUGCUGUGAGAUGCAGCGGUCGGAGCAACCAUCCGCUUGGUGAGAGCUCGGUGGAUGGGAUGCAUGGAAGAACGAAGAAUGUGGACCAAUCUCUGAAAGUUGCGAUGCCCGGGGAAAGUUCACCAUUUCUUGUGAAGACUAGCCCACAAUAGUCACCCGGUGCUAAGAAAUGUGGAGCGAGUUGGCGUGGAGUUGGACACGAGUUGUGUUGUGUGCCAUAGGCUUCCAGAGGACGGGGGCAGAAAUGCUACACUUCCGCCCUGAUUCUUACUGAAUAUAGUUACGGGCUGAGCUGUGAAACAUUGAUUGGCAAUCAGGAGGUGGUGGGACCCGCACUGAAAAUCAGGGGUGGGAAGAGAUUGAUGGAGAAGAGUCGUAGGUGAUUUCCGUGUCAUCUUGCCCGUAAGUGUACGUGGACGGCGCCUUUGAUCCGUCUACUCAGCGGGCCGGGUGGGGUUUUAUAGCGCGCGAUCAUGAGGGAGAUGCCGUGUUCGCUGGUGCAAAUAGGCGAGGCCCUUCAUGCAGAGUCGUGUGCCAUGAUCAAUGCAAUCCAGUUGGCAGUUGGCAGAGACACAUGGAAUUGGGAGGGUUGUCUUUGAAACCGACUCGUUGGGGCUGGCUCUACCUCUGAAUUCCUCUGUGCUCGAUCGCUCACCGCUCGGCACUGUUUUUCGUGAGACAAAGUAUAUACUUCAGUUGGGUUUUAGUCUUUGGAGUAUUGUCCACUGUCCUCGUACUUAAUUGUAAUGUUCCGGCACACGAGCUGGCUGCGGUAGGUAGGAGUGGAGCUUAGGGAGAACAACAUGUUUUUUUUUCGAAAAGGGGACUCCCCGGCCUCUGCAUCAGAACGAUGCAUAUGGCUACAUUAAUAAAUAAGUAAAAAGGUUCAACAAGAUCUUAAAGUCUGGAAACAAAACAAAAUAAAGGCGAACUCACAAAGAGCCUCAACGCCGCAAAAAAAGGCCAUAGAGCCACAACCGGCUGGCAAAACAAAGAUAGGUAAACUAAUCGCCUAUCCUAUUACAUGGCCGCCAUCCAAACCGGUUGAAGAUAUCCCGUGCUACCAUCUCCCACCGGACAGAUCCAGUAACCAAACGCUCCCUGGCCUCCAUCGGAGUGAGUAAGGACCACAUACGGAGCAGCGCCGUAGCUCGGAAUAAAACCUGCAAAAGAUGAAUAGUUGUUGUUCUGUUAAAAGUCAAAUCAUUUCUGCAGUUCCAAAUUGCCCAUAACAACGCACAUACUCCUACAUGAAUAUGUCUAGCUGUGUCGGGCUCAAUCCCGUCAAGCCACGUUCCAAAUAACGUACCCGCCAAAUUCGGAGGAGUGAUGUUAAAGGCAAUUUGCACGGUGCGUCACAAAACUCUUGCCAGCGGGCACUCAAAGAAGAGGUGCUUAAUGGUCUCGUCCCGAUCACAGAAACUACACCUAGUAGAUCAUGUCCAAUUGCGCUUAACCAAGUUGUCCUUUGUUAAAAUGACUUGUUUAUGUACAAACCACAUAAACACUUUGAUCUUCAAAGGAACUUUUACUUUCCAAACAUAUUUGGAACUAGGAAUGACACUGGAGUUAAUGACGUCGAUGUACAUCGACUUGACCGUAAAUUCUCCAGACCUAGUAAUUUUUCAACACAACUGAUCGGGCUGAUGAGCUAACUGAACCUCCAUCAGUCUACUCACCAAAUGGAGCCAAGCUUCCCAUCAAUCACCAACAAGCACCCUCCGAAACUGGAUAUUAAGGGGAAUGGACUGCAUAAUCGUUGCAACUAACGCUUCACGUCGUUGAACAAUACGGUACAGGGACGGGUACUGGAGGGCCAGUGGCGUAUCACCAAGCCAAGUAUCCUCCCAGAAACGGGUAUUGUUGCCAUCACCGACUAUAAACUUUGUUCUAUUAAAGAAGGUUGUCUUAACUCUCAUAAGACCCUUCCAAAAUGGCGAAUCAGUUGGCCUCGCUGUCACCUGAGACAAAGUUUUGGACUGCAGAUACUUGUUAUGGAGAAUCUGCGCCCAAGUUGCGUCAGUCUCAACAGAUAACUUAUACAGCCACUUACUGAGAAGGCAUCUGUUCUUGACCUCAAGAUUCUCAAUACCCAGACCCCCUUGAUCCUUUGGUCUACAGAUUACAUCCCACUUGGCUAGUCGGUACUUUCUCUUUAGUUCAUCACUCUGCCAAAAAAAUCUUGAUCGGUAGAAGUCCAGCCUUUUCCUAACCCCAACUGGAACUUCAAAGAAAGAUAGUAGGAACAUCGGCAUACCCGUGAGCACCGAAUUGAUAAGGAUCAACCGGCCUCCAUAAGACAUAAGUUUGCCCUUCCAGCAACUAAGUUUCUUCUCGAACCGAUCCUCGAUGCAUUUCCACUCUUUGUUUGAGAGCUUGCGAUGGUGAAUGGGUAUACCAAGGUAAGUAAAAGGUAAGGCCCCUAAUUCACAUCCAAACAAUUGCCUAUAAGCCUCUUGUUCCUCCUUGGCUCUACCAAAGCAGAACAGCUCGCUUUUAUGAAAGUUAAUCUUUAAUCCUGACAAUUGUUCGAAUAAGCAUAGCAGCAGCUUCAUAUUUCUCGCCUUUGCCAAGUCAUGCUCCAUGAAGAUAAUUGUAUCAUCAGCGUACUGUAAAAUGGAUAUACCCCCAUCGACUAGGUGGGGCACCAAGCCACCCACCUGGCCGGCCUCCUUUGCCCUACCUAUGAGAAUUGCCAACAUGUCAACCACAAUAUUGAACAAAAUAGGGGACAUUGGAUCACCUUGCCUCAGACCUUUGUGUGUCUGGAAAUAAUGACCUAUAUCGUCAUUCACUUUAAUUCCAACACUCCCUUUUUGCGUGAAGGAUUCUACCUGGCGCCGCCAAGCUUCAUCAAAACCCUUCAUGCGUAAAGCCUGUUGCAGGAAGGGCCAUUUGACCUUGUCGUACGCUUUCUCGAAAUCCACUUUGAAAACAACCCCAUCCAACUUUUUCGUGUGGAUCUCAUGGAGCGUAUUGUUGGGGAACGUAGUAAUUUCAAAAAAAUUCCUACGCACACGCAAGAUCAUGGUGAUGCAUAGCAACGAGAGGGGAGAGUGUUGUCCCUCGUAGACCGACAGCGGAAGCGUUAUCACAACGCGGUUGAUGUAGUCGUACGUCUUCACGAUCCGACCGAUCAAGUACCGAACGUACGGCACCUCCGAGUUCUACACACGUUCAGCUCGAUGACGUCCCUCGAACUCCGAUCCAACCGAGUGUUGAGGGAGAGUUUCGUCAGCACGACGGCAUGGUGACGAUGAUGAUGUUCCACCGACGCAGGGCUUUGCCUAAGCUCCGCAACGGUAUUAUCGAGGUGUAAUAUGGUGGAGGGGGGCACCGCACACGGCUAAGAGAUCUCAAGGAUCAAUUGUUGUGUCUCUGGGAUGCCCCCUGCCCCCGUAUAUAAAGGAGCAAGGGGGAGGCAGCCGGCCAAGGGGAGAGGCGCGCCAUAGGGGGGAGUCCUACUCCCGGUAGGAGAAGGGAAGGGGGAAGGAGAAAGAAGGAAGGGUGCGCCCCCCUUCCCUAGUCCAAUUCGGACCAGACCAAGGGAAGGGGUGCGGCCACCCUUGAGGCCUUUCUCUCCUUUCCCGUAUGGCCCAUUAAGGCCCAAUACGAAUUCCCGUAACUCUCCGGUACUCCGAAAAAUACCCGAAUCACUCGGAACCUUUCCGAAGUCCGAAUAUAGUCGUCCAAUAUAUCGAUCUUUACGUCUCGGCCAUUUCGAGACUCCUCGUCAUGUCCCCGAUCUCAUCCGGGACUCCGAACUCCUUCGGUACAUCAAAACUCAAUAAAACUGUCAUCGUAACGUUAAGCGUGCGGACCCUACGGGUUCGAGAACUAUGUAGACAUGACCGAGACACGUCUCCGGUCAAUAACCAAUAGCGGGACCUGGAUGCCCAUAUUGGCUCCCACAUAUUCUACGAAGAUCUUUAUCGGUCAGACCGCAUAACAACAUACGUUGUUCCCUUUGUCACCGGUAUGUUACUUGCCCGAGAUUUGAUCGUCGGUACCUCGAUACCUAGUUCAAUCUCGUUACGGGCAAGUCUCUUUACUCGUUCCGUAACACAUCAUCCCGCAACUAACUCAUUAGUCACACUGCUUGCAAGGCUUAUAGUGAUGUGCAUUACCGAGUGGGCCCAGAGAUACCUCUCCGACAAUUGGAGUGAAAAAUCCUAAUCUCGAAAUACGCCAACCCAACAAGUACCUUUGGAGACACCUGUAGAGCAUCUUUAUAAUCACCCAUUUACGUUGUGACGUUUGGUAGCACACAAAGUGUUCCUCCGGUAAACGGGAGUUGCAUAAUCUCAUAGUCAUAGGAACAUGUAUAAGUCAUGAAGAAAGCAAUAGCAACAUACUAAACGAUCGAGUGCUAAGCUAACGGAAUGGGUCAAGUCAAUCACGUCAUUCUCCUAAUGAGGUGAUCUCGUUAAUCAAAUGACAACUUAUGUCUAUGGCUAGGAAACAUAACCAUCUUUGAUUAACGAGCUAGUCAAGUAGAGGCAUACUAGUGACACUCUGUUUGUCUAUAUAUUCACACAUGUAUUAUGUUUCCGGUUAAUACAAUUCUAGCAUGAAUAAUAAACAUUUAUCAUGAUACAAGGAAAUAAAUAAUACUUUAUUAUUGCCUCUAGGGCAUAUUUCCUUCAGUCUCCCACUUGCACUAGAGUCAAUAAUCUAGAUUACACAGUAAUGAUUCUUACACCCAUGGAGCCUUGGUGCUGAUCAUGUUUUGCUCGUGGAAGAGGCUUAGUCAACGGGUCCGCAACAUUCAGAUCCGUAUGUAUCUUGCAAAUUUCUAUGUCCCCACCUGGACUAAAUCCCGGAUGGAAUUGAAGCGUCUUUUGAUGUGCUUGGUUCUCUUGUGAAAUCUGGAUUCCUUUGCCAAGGCAAUUGCACCAGUAUUGUCACAAAAGAUUUUCAUAGGACCCGAUGCACUAGGUAUGACACCUAGAUCGGAUAUGAACUCCUUCAUCCAGACUCCUUCAUUUGCUGCUUCCGAAGUAGCUAUGUACUCCGCUUCACAUGUAGAUCCCGCCACGACGCUUUGUUUAGAACUGCACCAACUGACAGCUCCACCGUUCAAUGUAAAUACGUAUCCGGUUUGCGAUUUAGAAUCAUCCGGAUCAGUGUCAAAGCUUGCAUCAACGUAACCAUUUACGAUGAGCUCUUUGUCACCUCCAUAUACGAGAAACAUAUCCUUAGUCCUUUUCAGGUAUUUCAGGAUGUUCUUGACCGUUGUCCAGUGAUCCACUCCUGGAUUACUUUGGUACCUUCCUGCUAGACUUAUAGCAAGGCAUACAUCAGGUCUGGUACACAGCAUUGCAUACAUGAUAGAGCCUAUGGCUGAAGCAUAGGGGACAUCUUUCAUCUUCUCUCUAUCUUCUGCAGUGGUCGGGCAUUGAGUCUUACUCAACUUCACACCUUGCAACACAGGCAAGAAUCCUUUCUUUGCUUGAUCCAUUUUGAACUUAUUCAAAACUUUGUCAAGGUAUGUGCUUUGUGAAAGUCCAAUUAAGCGUCUUGAUCUAUCUCUAUAGAUCUUGAUGCCCAAUAUAUACGCAGCUUCACCGAGGUCUUUCAUUGAAAAACUCUUAUUCAAGUAUCCCUUUAUGCUAUCCAGAAAUUCUAUAUCAUUUCCAAUCAGUAAUAUGUCAUCCACAUAUAAUAUCAGAAAUGCUACAGAGCUCCCACUCACUUUCUUGUAAAUACAGGCUUCUCCAAAAGUCUGUAUAAAACCAAAUGCUUUGAUCACACUAUCAAAGCGUUUAUUCCAACUCCGAGAGGCUUGCACCAGUCCAUAAAUGGAUCGCUGGAGCCUGCACACUUUGUUAGCUCCCUUUGGAUCGACAAAACCUUCUGGUUGCAUCAUAUACAACUCUUCUUCCAGAAAUCCAUUCAGGAAUGCAGUUUUGACAUCCAUUUGCCAAAUUUCAUAAUCAUAAAAUGCGGCAAUUGCUAACAUGAUUCGGACAGACUUAAGCAUCGCUACGGGUGAGAAGGUCUCAUCGUAGUCAAUCCCUUGAACUUGUCGAAAACCUUUCGCAACAAGUCGAGCUUUAUAGACAGUAACAUUACCAUCAGCGUCAGUCUUCUUCUUGAAGAUCCAUUUAUUUUCAAUGGCUUGCCGAUCAUUGGGCAAGUCAACCAAAGUCCAUACUUUGUUCUCAUACAUGGAUCCCAUCUCAGAUUUCAUGGCCUCAAGCCAUUUUGCGGAAUCUGGGCUCACCAUCGCUUCUUCAUAGUUCGUAGGUUCGUCAUGGUCUAGUAACAUAACUUCCAGAACAGGAUUACCGUACCACUCUGGUGCGGAUCUUACUCUGUUUGAUCUACGAGGUUCAGUAAUAACUUGAUCUGAAGUUUCAUGAUCAUCAUCAUUAACUUCCUCACUAAUUGGUGUAGGUGUCUCAGAAACUGGUUUCUGUGAUGAACUACUUUCCAAUAAGGGAGCAGGUAUAGUUACCUCAUCAAGUUCUACUUUCCUCCCACUCACUUUUUUCGAGAGAAACUCCUUCUCUAGAAAAUUUCCGAAUUUAGCAACAAAAGUUUUGCCUUCGGAGCUGUGAUAGAAGGUAUACCCAACAGUCUCCUUUGGGUAUCCUAUGAAGACACAUUUCUCCGAUUUGGGUUCGAGCUUAUCAGGUUGAAGUUUCUUCACAUAAGCAUCGCAGCCCCAAACUUUAAGAAACGACAACUUUGGUUUCUUGCCAAACCACAGUUCAUAAGGCGUCGUCUCAACGGAUUUUGAUGGUGCCCUAUUUAACGUGAAUGCAGCCGUCUCUAAAGCAUAACCCCAAAACGAUAGCGGUAAAUCAGUAAGAGACAUCAUAGAUCGCGCCAUAUCUAGUAAAGUGUGAUUACGACGUUCAGACACACCAUUACGCUGUGGUGUUCCGGGUGGCGUGAGUUGCGAAACUAUUCCGCAUUGUUUCAAAUGUAGACCAAACUCGUAACUCAAAUAUUCUCCUCCACGAUCUGAUCGUAGAAACUUUAUUGUCUUGUUACGAUGAUUUUCAACUUCACUCUGAAAUUCUUUGAACUUUUCAAAUGUUUCAGACUUAUGUUUCAUUAAGUAGAUAUACCCAUAUCUGCUUAAAUCAUCUGUGAAGGUGAGAAAAUAACGAUAUGCCAGCACUUCUUAUAAAACUCGGCAGGAAAAACCAUCGGGUCCCGGCGCCUUGUUAUUUUUCAUUUGCGAAAUGGCCUCAAAAACCUCUUUCUCAAAAAAAGGAGCUGCAAGAAUAUCAUUCUCCACCUCAGUGAGUUGAGGAACAUCCUCAACCCGGGACUCAUCCAGAGACACAUAGUUAUCCUCUGGAGGACCAAAUAACUGCUUGUAAUACUCUGUAAUAUACAACUUUAGGUUUUCCUGUCCUAAGAUUGCUCCUUCAUCUUGCUCAAGCUGAAAGAUCCUCUUCUUUCUAUGUUUACCAUUAGCAAUCAUAUGAAAGAAUUGGGUGUUCGCAUCCCCCUGGACUACUCGCCGGACCUUGGCCCGCGACGCCCACUUCAAUUCCUCUUCUCGAAGAAGUUCUUUCAGCCUCAUCUCCACGUCAAGCUUGGCAUGAAGCUCCGCGGCCGGCAGCACCGUGGUUUCUGCUUUUACAUCUAGGGACUGAAUAAGGGAAAGGAGCCUUUCCUUUUCGACCUUAUAAAUCCCGCUAAGAUGCUUAGCCCACCCACGUAGAAAACUUCGCAAAUGUCUAAUCUUAUUCUGCCAGCGCUGAAGCGCAGUCUUCCCUCCUGCAUCCUUAGCCCAUUCUCUGGCUAUGAGAUCAAAGAAACCUUCUCGCUCAAACCAAGCCAGCUCAAAGGAGAAAGAGUUUUUGUUACCCAGAUGGGUGGCCAUGGAGAACAAAAUGUAUGGUUGUCUAAUCUCUCUAUCAAUGUAACCACUGCUGUGGCCGUCGAUUUGGUCGAUCCAUCGUAAUCUAUGAAAUGCCAGGUGUUCCAAGUCAAAAAAAGGGAGUAAGGGUGGAAAUAAUAAGUUGAGCUGAUUUUUACAAAACGAGUUCUUUUACACUUUUUGCUUAUUUUGACAAUAAGCUACUAGAAGCUAUAAAAGAACUGGCCUAAGAAACGAAAAGGAAUCUGAGAAGAACACGGACGCGGUAGCACUUGAAGGAGCGCCUCCACCAGCAGAAAGAAAACGGAAAUGUAACUGGCGACCGUUCGCUAGGAGGCUAGUCCCGGUGAACGCACUCUCUCCCGUCGGAUUGGUGUGCAUGAAUUUUUUCGCAGGAUCGAAGCCACAUCAGAUCUUUUUUAAACUCAUUCGCUACAAGAUGAAAGACAGCGAACACAUUGCCAUUGGAAACACUACAGCCCCCGCAGUGGCUAGUGACGCGUCCCUGGAGACUUGGUAUUGCACUCUAGCCUCUCCCUUUUUCAUCAGAUGGCAAUUUAAAGAGGGCAAAAAAAGAUGCCCAUCUUACGCACACAAAGAAAAAUGACCAUCCUUUUUUAAAUAAAACAACAACGUAGAUAUGGAAUUGAAAUUUCAUACAUAUGCCACGGGAAAUAAAAGAGUGAAGUGCAUUGUAUGUCCCUAAACUAUUUUAGGACUAUCAUGUAGGUCCUCAAACUAUGAAAAUGGGCAUUCAGGUUCUUAAAGUGCAGUAAGUGUGUUAUUUAGGAUCAAAAUAUGUCCGACCACGCCUGACCGGCCAGCUGGCGCAAUUGACCCAUGACACGUCGGACAUGGGGCCCUGCAAGGUAACAGCCGGUGAUGAAAAUAUGCACAAAAAAAUCAAAUAAAUUCCAGGGAAUGAUAAAUGCACUUCACUCCAAAUAGAUUCAAAUUCAUGGUUUCAAAAAAUGUUUGCGAAUAUGGAAAAAAUGUUCAUGACUUUAAGAAAUGUUCACGAACGAUAAAUUUGAAAAUGUAUUCGUGAACCACAAACAUUUGUGGUUCAUGAAGAAGUUGUGAACAUAUUUGAAACCAUGAACAUUUAUAUUAAUGAUUUAUUUGUAAAUUCAUAAACAUAUUUUAGAGUUCAUAAAUAUUUUCUUAACCCCAAACGUUUUUUAAAAAAAUUGUGAAUAUUUUUAAAAUUCACAACUUUCUAAAAAUAGCUAAUGUUUGAAAAAAAGAUCAUUUAUGAAUUUGUUGAAAAACAAAUUCAAAUACGUCGUUCGUGAUUUUUUUCCAUAUUCAAGAAAAAAUUUGGGGUUCGCGAACAUAUUUUCAAAUUUAUCAUUCACAAACAAUAUUGGUGGUUUUUGAACAUAUUUUCUUUUCUUUCAAAAUUUAUCAUUCACAGAUAUUUUUCUAAAGCCGCGAAUAGUUUUUUCCAUAUUCAUCGUACGCGAACUUUUUUUCAAAUUCAUCACUCGUGAACAUUUUUUUUAAGUCACGAACAUUUUUCCAUAUUCGCCAACAAUAUUCGUGGUCCAUGAACAUAUUUUAAAAUUUAUCUUUCGUGAAUACUCUUUUGAAGUUGCGAACAUUUAUUCCAUAUUCGCGAACAUUUUCUGUUGUUUGCGAACAUAUUUCCAAAUUGAUCGUUCGUGAAGAUAUCUUUUUUCUUUUCAAAUUUAUCGUUCGCAAUCAUUUUUUUAAUAUCACGAACAUUUUCUCCAAAUUCAUCGUUCGCAAACUUUUAUUCCAAAUUCAUCAUUCAUGAACUUUUAUUUAGAUUCAUCGUUCGCGGACAUUUUUCUAAAGUCGCGAACAUUUUUCAAUACUUGCGAGCGUUUUUUUAUUUAAUGAACAUUUUUUUCCAUAUUCGCGAACAUUUUUUGAAAUAAUGAUUUUAGUUUAUUUGCGUAUUUCCAUCACUGGCCGUUACCUUGAGGGGCUGUCUGACGUGUCACGGGUCAGCGACACCAGCUGGCCGGUUAGGCAGGGGUGGACAAUUUUUGGACUUGAAUGACACACUUACGGCACUUCGAGGAUUUAGAUGACGAUUUCAUAUUUUGAGGACUUACAUGACACCCAUCAAAUACUUCAGGGACCUACAAUGUACUUCACUCGAAACUAAAACAACCAUCUAAUUUGACCACGACCCCUGCCACAUCCAGGGCCAUGUCUAACUCAUCUUAACCAGGUUGCUCACACAUCCUUAAAGACAAGGGGCGGCGGGGGAAGGGGUGAAUCCCAUCGCCGUACUCUUUGUACAUGUGACCAAGGUUUCCACACACCGAGCACCAGUUUGGGAGUCGUUCAUAUUUCACGCGAAAGAUCUAGCUCUUAUUAUCCGGGAUAAGUGAAACAACAUAAUUUAAAUGCUUAUUAACAUUGAUCUUAACUUCAGCUCUGGAAAAAAUUCCUCAAAAUCCUGCGACUUCGGCUCAGCAUAGAUAAAUUCGCUAACCUUCCCUGCUAGUGAUUUCAGUAACAACACAUACUCAUCUGGUAGGGCGUGGAUUUAGGCCCAUAUCUUUAGAGAAUCGAGCUUGAACGGCGAGGGUUUUAUAAACCCUUCGUAUGGCGCCAACACCACGAAAUUACCACGAAAAUUCCAAGGCCCUUCUUCCAUAACCCAUUUCGAAUCGUCAAGGCAAUAGGACUCCAAUGUGUAAACGUUGUCGUUCAGGGUGCGAACGGUCACCUCCUUGGCAAAACUCCACACCACUCUCAUGUUCUUGUAAAAACAGUACUCGGGCAAUGGCUAUCCAUAUGGACUCGGGCAAUGGCUAUCCAUCAUGUCAAAUUAGCCGCCAGUGCUUCAUCCUGUUGCACAAGAACAUCAUGGAGGUCGUCGUCUUUGAGCCCAAGUUGCCAUCACCGCUGAGGAGAAAAGCUAACCCUAGCAUGAGGGGAAAAGGAGGUCUUGGUGAUGUCUAAUAUGUUUUUUUUAGACAAUGGCGGUGUCCAAUUGGUGAUCCGCAUUGGAGUUGCCCUAAGACUUGGUUUGGUGCGUGUGAUGUUAUUUCAUGUAAACGGAAUUUCAAUGGUGUGGCCCAUGAGUUGGCCCAAAUAAGUGUGUGUGUAUGUGCGCGGGUAGGGUCUCGCUGUUAUUGGGAGUAUAAUGUUCCAACAUAUGUUGAUAGGGAGAUUCAAAAGAGAAAAUGUUGAUAGCCUUAUAAUAGCCGAUUUGCCAACUAUUAUGCCGUAAUAAAGCCCCCCUCAUGCUGAGUUAACAGCAACUUCAGGUGACAGGCCCGUGGCUUGGCCCGGCUAGAAGUACGUGAUGACUGCUUUUUGCCUCAGCAGACCCUGGACCAGCAAGCUGGUGUAUAUGCUUGCGUCGUCGGCAAUACGUACUACCAGGCUAUUUAGACCGCGACGUAUGCUUCGUAGCGAGCGGUGUGGUACUAAUGUUUCUUUCGGCAUAGUGUGGUACACCGCUCGGCCUAACCGAGCGGUGUCACGGCCCAGCUAGCCACCUCGAUCGUCUUCCGUCCAGCUAAACUGUGCCUCUUGUCCAUACGGGGGUCAUCAGCACCAUGCAAAUGGUCACCCAUGCUUCAUCUGCCGACGACUGAGCCCCAUGCCGACCUCAUGCAUCUCUAAUUAGUUUCAAAGCUACGUACUAUUGUAUUAUACACAUGCAAAUUUUUAUACUAGCAUGUUGUAACAAGAUGCAAUCAAUCGUCUAAAAAAUGUUUCAUGAUGCAAUUAACAAUCGCAAUCCUGACGCCUCUGGUUGGCUACAAAACUGAGAUAGCCAAGUCUGCAUUUGCCAUUGGAUCCAUUAAGUAAUCUCGUUUCCAUGGACUCUCGCCGGUUCUCCUCACCUGCUCCGGCCCCAAUGACCACGACAACACGAGCAAAAUCACCACACGAGCCAUUCGCAUUAUAUACGCCACAUGUAGACGCAUGUCCAGUCCAGUCCAGGUCACUACGGCUUUCCAUCGACACAAUAUCAAGAGGAGCUCUAGGUCCGGCCAUGUCAGCGACAGUGGUGGAGAGGUGGGUGGGGCUCGGAUCAGCGGUGGCGACCGUCAUCUUCCUCUGGUCCGUGGUGCAGAACUACGUGCCCCCGACCGACCUUCUGCCUCUACCUCACCACCUGGGCCACCAAGCUCGCAGCCUCCCUACCUCCAGAUCACCAUUUCCGAGUACGGUGCCGAGCGCUUCCAGCGCAGCGACUUCUUCCUCGCCAUCGAGGCCUACCUCAGCAACGCCUGCACCCGCCACGCGCGCAAGCUCAAGGCCGAGCUCGGCAAGGACAGCAAGAACCUUUGGGUCUCCGUGGACAACCACGAGGAGGUCACUGACGACUUCAACGGGAUCACCAUCUGGUGGUACGCCUCCAAGAGGCAGUCCAAGGCCAACGUCAUCAACUAUACCCCGGCGGGGACGAGAGGCACUUCUACCGGGUCGUCUUCCAUCGGCAGCAUCGCGACCUUGUCGUUGACUCCUACCUUCCUUUCAUCCUCGACGAGGGUCGCGCUGUCACUGUCAAGAACCGCCAACGCCGCCUCUUCACCAACAAUGCUAGCGGCAGCUGGAACCCCUACUGGGGCAAAAGCGUCUGGAGCCACGUCCCCUUUGAGCACCCUGCCACCUUUGACUCGCCAUGCACCCCGAUGAGAAGGAAGCCGUCAUCGACGACCUCAUGGCAUUCCAGGAGAGCAAGGAAUACUAUGCCAAGGUCGGCAAGGCAUGGAAGCGCGGGUACCUCCUUUACGGACCGCCCGGCACCGGCAAGUCCACCAUGAUCGCCGCCAUGGCCAACUUCCUCGACUACGACAUCUAUGACCUUGAGCUCACGGCAGUCAAGAACAACACCGAGUUGCGGAAGCUCUUCAUCGAAACAACGGGCAAGUCCAUCAUCGUCAUAGAGGACAUCGACUGCUCCGUCGACUUCACAGGAAAACGCCGCAAGGACAAGAAGGCCUCAAGCGACAAGGACUCCGGCAACAAUGACAAGCCCAAGUUACCGAUAGAGCCGGAGAAGGACGAUGCCACCAAGGUGACGCUCUCGGGCCUGCUUAACUUCAUCAACGGGCUGUGGUAUGCUUGUGGAGGUGAGCGGAUCAUCAUCUUCACCACCAACCACAAGGAGAAGCUGGACCAGGCGCUGAUUCGGCGGGGCAGGAUGGACAAGCACAUCAAGAUGUCCUAAUGCUGGUAUGAGGGCUUCAAAGUGCUCGCCAAGAACUACCUAGAUGUCAUUGAGCACGAGCUGUUUGGGGGAAGUUCAGCGCCUGCUUGAGGAGACUGACAUGUCGCCCGCUGACGUUGCAGAGAACCUGAUGCCCAUGUCGAAGAAGAAAAAGAGGGACCCCGACGUGUGCUUGAUAGGCCUCAUCAAGGCGCUCAAGCAGGCCAAGGAGGAAGCGGUGGCGGCCAAGGUGAAGGAGGUAGAGGAUGCUCAAGCGAAGAAAGUCAAGGAGAAAGAGGAGACACAGGUGAAGAAAGCCAAGGAGGAAGACAAAGCACCCGAGGCAGCCAAUGGGGAUAUUAAGCAAGGUGACAAGUGAAGUGACAUCAUGCCAAGAAGCCAAGUAAAAUGAGUGAGCUUGUUCACUAGUGCUCCCUUACAAAGCAAAAAUGCAGUGUUUAAUGCACCUCUCAACUGAAACAAUAUUUAUUUCUUCUCUCACUUGUAAUGUUGCUGCAUAUAAAGCGUGCAACAGUACAAAAUGCUUCUGUAAUAACAAACACAUGCUUUACCUACACCAAAAGGCUAAGAGCAUCUCCAGCCGUUCGGCCCCCCAGGGCGCCGAAAAAGAGCGGCCUGGGGGCGAGCUGGCGCUAGAUCGGUCCCUGGGGUUCGUUUCUCCCCAGCCACGCCCCCAGGUGCCGCCCCCCAAGGCGCCCCAUAUUCGAACUCCAUUGUUUCCGCUCAAAGAAACAACAAACCGGUGACCAUCGCAAUAGUUCGGCGAUUCGGUGCCACAGUUCGGCGAUCAAAUAAAAGGACACGCAGUAGUUCGGCGUACAGAAAAGGAAGGAUGCGGAAGGAGUACAUCAAACGUCGAGCUCAACCUCCGGCGGCGGCGUCGUCGGCGUACGCGGGCUGGAAGGAGUCGGCGCGGCUUCCGGGCUGGUCGGCGCGGCGGAGGCAUCGUCGGUGGGGCUGGGCGUCGCGGAGGCAUCGUCAUCAGCCACCGGGCUGGGCGGCGGCGGCGGCGGCGGUAUAUGAUUCAGGAUGCGGCCGCGCUCCGCCAAGAACCACGCCUUGAGCUUCUCGUCGCUGCUCUGGAGCAUGUCAGCGCCGCCCAUCAAGAAGGCGAGGUCGUUGUUCCUCUUCUUCGCGUCUUGAGCUUUGAGUUUCGCGGCGGCGUUGGUCCAGAGCAAGUCGGGUUUGACGGCGCUGUUCGUCAUCAAAACAGCCCACCUCGCCUCAGUUUUCUCUUCUCGCUGGGCGGCCCUGGUCUUGGCGUCGGCGAGGCAGUGUUCGAUGGACUCUUGCACGCGCGCGGCAGCCGACUCGGCGUAUUUCGCCUUCUUGGCACAUUUGUUGCCGUCCGGGCGCCCGUCGGCCGCACCCGCGGUCGGCGCGUCCGGCUUGUACGUCUCUUUGGCUUUAGCGAGGGUGCGUCGGACGGCCGCCCAUUUCUCGCACUUGUCGAUCCGCUUGAAGACGUGGAGGUACUUGAACUCUACGUCGCUGUUGUCAUCGUGGAACAUGGCGAGCAUGCGUAGCAGCUGCGCCGAAGGAAAGAACAUCGGACUCUACACUAAAGCAUAUCAUCGACUAGAUUCCACACAACAUAUCAUUGGACUCUACACUAAGCAUAUCAUCGGAUUCACUAAGCAUAUAAUCGGAUAAUUUGCAUUUGUAAGUAUAACAAUAAAGCAUAUAUAUAUAUAUAUAUAUAUAUAUAUAUAUAUAUAUAUAUAUAUCAUCAAAUUACUACAGUUAGUAUAACAUACCAUAUCAUGCCGAUCAACCAUGGUACUUGUCAGGCGGGUCACGAAUGGCACCCCGACAAAGUUAUCACGUGGCGGAAUUAUGUCCCAUAGGUUGCACACCUCCUCCUCGCUCAGCCUCAUUCUUUGAGCUACAAUGGCUUCAUGAAGUAGGUCCUCAUCAUCUUCAUCGAGUGGGUCCUCAUCAUCUUCAUCCUUGUUGAUAUAAAUGACAGCCAGCUUGGGUCUUUCUGCUCUAAAGGAGAAGCUGAUCAACUCACCACCAGUAACACCCAUGCGGGCAAGGAACGGACCCAUCCAUCUCCUCCAAUCUGCAACAUAUUGCGUCGUUUCUCGACCUCCAUAGUGUAGGCCCCCCUGAGGGAGUCCUGGACUAAGGGGUCCUCGGGCGUCUGGCCUAUUAUCCAUGGGCCGGACUGAUGGGCUGUGAAGACAUGAAGGCCGAAGACUGUACCCGUGUCCGGAUUGGACUCUACUUGGCGUGGAAGGCAAGCUUGGCGACCGAUGAUGAAGAUUCCUUCUUAUGUAACCGACUCCAUGUAAACCCUAGAUCCCCCCGGUGUCUAUAUAAGCCGGAGGGGUUAGUCCGGAAAGGAUACACACAUUACCAUAGUCAUAUAGGCUAGACUUCUAGGGUUUAGCCAUUACGAUCUCAUGGUAGAUCAACUCUUGUAAUACUCAUAUUCAUCAAGAUCAAUCAAGUAGGAAGUAGGGUAUUACCUCCAUAGAGAGGGCCCGAACCUGGGUAAACAUCGUGUCCCCCGUCUCUUGUUACCAUCGAUCCUAGACGCAUAGUUCGGGACCCCCUACCCGAGAUCCGCCGGUUUUGACACCGACAUUGGUGCUUUCAUUGAGAGUUCCACUAUGCAGUCGAUGAAAGGCUUGAUGGCUCUCCUUGUCCUUAAAGAUAACAUCACCGCCGGGGUAGCUCUGGCCCCGGGCCAAACCCUCCGGGUGGGCGACUUUACUAUGAUCGCCCGUUCGGCCGUUGAGCCGACGAUGACCUCUCGGGCCAUCGAAAACCCCCUCCGCAUCAAUUCCGAGCACUCCAAGCAGAUGGAUCCGGCUGAGUUUUCGUCCUUAAACGAGCUCCUAGAUCGCAUCGACGCUUUGGGAAUCGCCACAGAUUACGAUCGGAUCGGGCCUAAAACCGAUCAGGGAGAAAUCGAAACUCUAUCGAUCACCCACUAGCUUGCGGUAGUCGUGGAGCAGGACGGCGAGUCUUCUUCUAUACCGAAGACGGACUAUGUUCGGAUCGCCGUUCAUGAAGAGCCGGAUACUCACCCGCGAAAGGAUGUGACCCGCCCUCCGAACAUAGCAUCGGACGGCGGUCCCAAACAAUCAGAAGAUAUUCCGGAACCCAGACUGUCAAGCCCAGAAGGUCGUCAGACUCCGGAUAAUCGGUCAGGUCGGGGUUCGGAUUUAAUUCCACCCACCCACCUGGACAUAGACGCUCUCAUGAGCAUAAAACAACAGUCUCAGGAAACGGUCCACCACUUCUGGGCCAGAUUCCUCCUUGUCAAGGACAAGGUAAAAGAUUGCCGUGACGAGGACGCAAUAUCAGCAUUCUGCAAAAAUUGUGCAGACAAAGGAAUCCUCAACGCCAUCAAUCGCCGCCGCAUACUGAAAUUCGCUGACUUAGCAACCAUCGUACAAAAGUAUAGCGCGAUGGAGAGCGCCUGGGAAACUCGGGCAGUUCGCUGGGAACCGUCAGUCCCAACCCAACUCCCCCUACAGGCGAAAAGGGCGCACCCUCGUGGCAUGCCCAGUCCAACAGUCAAGACACACAAAGCCGCUAUACGGCAUGGCACCGUUCUGGAGGGAUGGCUCGAUGCCCCAUGCAAAAUACAUACAACAACGGAUACCGUGGCAACCCACAGCCUUAGAGCAUGUUGGAUACUACGACAGGUAGCCAAGAGCGGCGAGGACAUCCUUAUCAAGGACGCCCCGGAACAGCAUACCCCAGAAGACAACGACUCAAGAGUAUUGACGGUCUUUGAGACAUUCGCUUCAAACAACAAGCGCAAAAGGGCACUUCGCGAGCUCGACGAAGUUUGCCAAAUUGCUGUAAUAAACCCAUGGAACGACACGGCGAUAACAUUCAACGCCGGUGAUGAACCGAAGUACAGAACAGUACGAGCACCAGCCGCGUUAGUCCUCAGUCCCGUCGUGGAUGGGUUUCGACUCACCAAGGUCCUCAUGGACGGCGGCAGCGGACUAAAUCUCAUUUAUGGGGAUACAUUCCAUAAAAUGGAAAUAGACAGGAGCCGCAUCAAGCAAAGUAACACAACCUUCCGGGGAAUUAUUCCUAGUCGGGAGGCGCAGUGCGCGGGCAAAAUCACACUUGACGUGGUAUUUGGCACGCCGGAGAACUAUCGGUCCGAAGAAAUAACUUUCCAAGUGGCCCCUUUCAGUAGCGGAUAUCACGCCCUGUUGGGGCGGGAUGCUUUUACAUGCUUCCAAGCUAUACCUCAUUACGGGUAUAUGAAGCUCAAAAUGCCCGGACCAAACGGUAUAAUCACUCUCGUAAGUGAUCCGGACAUAGCACUCCGCGCUGAAAACAAAACCACAUCCCUGGCCCUGGAGGCGCUAUCCGAAGCCCUCGUGGCCGAAGAAUUAACCGCACUACGCUCCACGGUGGACAGGGACGAUGUGAUCCUCGACAAACGCCCCAAAUCCACCUCAUUCAAACCAGCAGAAGAAAUAGUCAGAUUCCAGGUCCACCCAACGGACCCCAAGAAGAUAGCAUCUAUCGGAGCUCAACUAAACCCAACAGUUGACGCCGCACUACGAGAAUUCCUGCGCGAAAACUGGGACAUAUUUGCGUGGCACCCUUCGGAUAUGCCAGGGAUCCCACGCAAGUUGGCCGAACAUAGCCUCAAUAUAUUAAAGGGAUUUAAACCAGUCAAGCAAACACUACGGCGCUUUCCGAACCCAAGCGACAAGCCAUGGGGGAGGAGCUGGCCAAGCUUAUCGAGGCCGGAUUCAUUAGAGAAAUCAAACAUCCGGACUGGCUGGCAAACCUGGUGAUGGUACCAAAGAAGGAUAAAUCCUGGCGCCUGUGUGACGAUUUCAAGGAUCUCAACAAGGCUUGCCCUAAGGAUCCCUUUCCCCUUCCCUGCAUUGAUCAAAUCAUUGACGCCACCGCAGGACAUGACUCAUUGUGCUUCCUCGAUGCAUAUUCCGGAUACCAUCAAAUCAAAAUGAAGGAAUCCGAUCAAGCUGCAACAGCAUUUAUUACCCCAUACGGGUCAUUCUGCUUCAACACUAUGCCCUUCGGGCUCAAGAACGCCGGCGCGACAUACCAACGCAUGAUUCAAACAUGCCUGGAGAAACAGAUCGGCAAAACGGUAGAAGCUUACGUCGAUGACGUCGUCAUCAAAACUAGGCAUGUCGAAACACUAAUAGACGACUUACGUCUUACGUUUGACAACCUCCGGGCAUAUGACAUUAAGCUCAACCCGGAAAAGUGUGUCUUCGGCGUCCCCGCUGGAAAACUGUUGGGCUUCAUCGUCUCCAAUAGAGGAAUCGAAGCAAAUCCGGCUAAAAUCCGAGCUCUGUCACAGUUGGCUACACCAACAAACCUCAAACAGGUCCAAAAACUGGCCGGAUGCGUGGCAGCACUAAGCCGCUUUAUCUCCAGACUAGGAGAAAAGGCACUCCCACUCUAUCGCCUCUUACGGCGCACUGAUAACUUUGAAUGGACAGACGCGGCGACUGCCGGACUGGAGGAAAUAAAGACCCUCCUAGCAAGCAAUCCAAUCCUGGCCGCACCAAACGCGGGUGAACCCAUGUUGCUAUACAUAUCGGCAACGCAUGAGCGCCGUGCUCGUCGUCGAACGAGAACAGGACGGACACAAAUUCCCACUUCAAAAACCAGUAUACUAUGUAUCUACUGUCCUCACACCAUGAAAAUCCCGGUACCCCCACUACCAAAAGAUAGGGUACGCGAUCUUCAUGGCAUCCCGCAAGCUACGACACUACUUUCAGGAGUGUUCAAUCACGGUGGCUUCUGAGGUCCCACUCAAUGACAUAAUAAACAACCGCGAUGCCACGGGACGUAUCGCCAAAUGGGCCAUAGAGCUACUUCCAUUCGACAUAACAUACAAGCCACGUCGAGCCAUCAAAUCUCAAGUACUGGCCGACUUCGUCGCCGAAUGGACAUAGGCCGAACUUCCUAAAGAGUAUGGCGCAUACUCCAAUUGGGUCAUGUAUUUUGACGGUUCCAAAAUGUUGGCAGGACUAGGAGCGGGAGUCGUAUUAACAUCCCCCAUUGAACACGUCGUCUAGUAUGUACUUCAGAUAUUAUACACAGACUCCAACAACGCAGCCGAAUAUGAGGCCCUACUGCAUGGUCUUCGGAUGGCCAUAUCCAUGGGCAUAAAACGCCUGGAGGUGCGCGGGGACUCGAACCUCGGGAUAUCUCAGAUAAACGGCGACUUUGACGCCAAAGAUCCAAAGAUGGCAGCUUAUCGCAAUGUCGUAUUAAAAAUAUCGGCUCGGUUCGGGGGCUUGAAUUUCAUCAUGUUUCCCGAGAAAGCAAUCAAGCAGCGGACGUCCUGGCUCGCAUCGGCUCUAAGCGCAACCCCGUCCCACCUAAGAUCUUCCUGGAAUGGCUUUUCAAGCCAUCCGUGGUGUGGCAAGGGGAGGGCGGCGACAAUAAUUCAGAUCCGAACACAACCUCAAACCCCGAACAUACAGACAGUGCCGGGGGCUCAGCCACCGAAAUAACACCAUCGGCCCAUCUCAUCAUGGCAGUCAUUGCCCCAUGGACCGAACCCUUCUUGGCCUACAUUAAUAGGAAGGAGCUUCCCAACGACUAGAAUGAGGCUCGCCGCAUUGUCAGGUGUUCGAAGGCCUACAAGGUUCACGACGGAGAGCUCUACAAGAAAAGAACUACCGGAGUACUUCAAAGAUGUAUCUCCGAAGAAGAGGGGCGACAGCUUUUAGCGGAAAUUCACGCUGGCCUCGGCGGACACCACGCCGCAGCUCGGGCCCUCGUUAGCAAGGCCUUCUGUACUAGGUUUUAUUAGCCGACAGCCCGAGCGGACGCGCAGGACCUUGUCCAACGUUGCAUCGGAUGCCAGCUCUUCGCCAACCAAAGCCACAUGCCCCCAACUUCCUUGCAAACUAUCCCCAUUACUUGGCCUUUUGCGGUCUGGGGCCUCAAUAUGGUUGGACCCAUUAAAGGGGGAAGCCAUAAGAAAAAUAUCUGCUGGUUAUGGUGGACAAAUUCACUAAGUGGAUAGAAGCUAAACCGGUCAAAACGGCUGAGUCCGGCCUGGUGAUUGACUUCAUAUCCGGUGUUGUGCACCGUUAUGGUGUCCCACAUAGCAUCAUCACCGACAAUGGCUCUAAUUUCACAGCCGACGAGGUAAAAACCUGGUGUACUAAUCUGGGUAUUAAACUCGAUUACGCCUCCGUCUACCACCCACAAACCAACGGUCAAGUCGAACGAGCCAACGGUCUUAUUAUGAGCGGCAUCAAGCCCAGACUAGUGCGGUCUUUGAAAGAAUCAGACAAGCACUGGGUUGAGGAACUCGACUUCGUACUCUGGGGGCUGCAGACCACGCCCAACCGUACUACCGGAUACACACCUUUCUUCAUGGUGUAUGGCACAGAGGCCGUAUUGCCUUACGAUAUUAUUCACGACUCACCUCGAGUGCAUAUGUACGAAGAGAGAGAAGUCGAGCUUGAUCGGCAGGACAGCCUAGAUGCCCUGGAGGAGGAACGCGAUGUCGCAAAAGCCCGUUCAACAUUCUACCAACAGCAGGCUCGAAGAUACCAAAGCAGAGAAGUACGGGCCAAGACUUACAAUGUUGGCGAACUCAUUCUACGCCUGCUGGAGAAGAAAAAUGACAAACUCAAGACCAAAUGGGAGGGUCCCUUCAUAAUUGACGAAGUUCUCACCGGAGGAGCGUACCGUCUUCGUGAUGCAUCAGAUAAUCGCCUCGAGCCGAACCCCUGGAAUGCGGCCAGACUCCAAAGAUUCUAUGCCUAGCGUCGAACUCCUUGUUCGUCUCCUUCUCCCCUGUAGUUUCCAUUAUUUUUUCUCUCUUUUCCGAUUACUUUUUCAUUCUUCACUUUAAAAGUUUUGGUACGGCUAGACCGCACACCGCUAACACAUACAUAUUUAAAAUAUGUAUGUCCAUUAUACCUGGGGGCUUGUUGGAUAGAAGCUUUUUAUCAUUAUUCUUGGAGCAUCAAGCUCUUCACAUAUGAGUUCUUCCAUAUGUACCUUUUCUUCGCCACUAUAUGCAUCGAUAUGACUUAAGUUUUGGCCAAGCUGGGUUGCCUGGCUCCUGUGCUUAUGCCCUACGUUCUCGUUAGUUCGGCUAGGGCAUAAAGGGAGCACCUCUGCGAUUGUUACUGUUGGGUCAUCCGGAUGUGUACCUCAGACUGGGUGAAGCCGAAAGCUAGCGUUCUUAAGGGAAUAUUCGGUCGGUGAAUUAAAGAUGUUUUUGCAAUUACUCCAUUGGUAACCCCCAGAAGUUACAUACACUGUGAUUUUUCCAUCACAAUUCGGACAUGUACAUUAAUACAUGCACACCCAGGGAAAGGAACCCUUAACGGAACUAUUCUCUCUGGAAGAUGUUUCUUACGAUCUCAAUGUAAUAUAACAUAACUAGCAGAAUACAACUUGUCUGUUCAAGCAACUAUGACCCCUACGCCUAGUUUUCCAGGCAUACCUCGGCCUAUUCGGUCGUGAGGGUAUUCGGAAGCACUCUGCACCCUUGGGUCCGGAGGUUGAAGCGAAAAGGUCUGCCAUGACAAAUGCUAUACAAUUCAGCUAGAAUUACAUAGGGUAAGGAAUGUACAUAGUCACUUGGACUCAAACACUUCACCCUCUAUACCGUCCAACAGUCGGUCCAACUUAUAAUCCUGUUGGGAAUAUUUGGCGGCCACCUCUACUUGGUCAUAUAAUAAACUAACGGGAAUUUGCUCCCCAUUUGACCCUAGCGGUCCAACUCGGGCCAUGUGAUUCAGAUCCAGCUUGGUAUAUCGCGUUUUCAUCAUGGCACAGGCCUCUUGUGCACCCUCUCGGCGGGUUGAUAUCUUCCAUAGUCGGAUACGCCGCCGCGCUCCCUUGAACAGCUCUACAAGCUCCUCCAUACUUCCUGGAGGGGAGGUGGACGACCAUAAGGCCUUGGCCACGCUCCGCAUGGCUAGCCGAGCAUGCUCGUGCACUUGUGACUGCCUUUGCAGCAGAUCACUUCAUGAUCCGGACACCUCCUCUUCAGGAUGGCCCGUCAGUAUACCUGCAAACAUGACUAUAUCAGUCCCAUUUAUCUCUGAGCUACUUCAAAAAUAGUCGAACACAUACUGAAGAUACCGCCCCACAGCUUUUUGUUUUCCUUCAUGGAAUCAUCUAGCUGGGCUCGAACAUCUUUCAACUCUUCACCCAAUGCGGUGUUGGAAUCCUGUAGCUUGUUUUUCUCAUCUCUGACGCGGGUCAGCACACGCUCGCCUGCGGCGUGUUGCCUUUUCGCCUCUUUUUCUCCCUCUUGGGCGACCUUCAACUUCUCUUCAAGUUGAUCAGACGACCCUAUAAUGCGAAAUCAGCAGCAGCAUUAGCGCAGCAUGUACACAAUUAUUGUUCCUCGGUGGAGGGGAACAUUACCAGAAGACGACUUCUUCACGUUUCCCAGUUCGGCGGUAGCAGCUUUUAGCUCCGCCCGACACUGCUCCAUCUCUUGGGCUAGCAGGCCAUUCUUCUCUGCGAGGACCUGGUUGUUCAACGAUCCUUAAAUCAGUUAUGCCAACUGCUUUCAGUCUCGGGGGCUACGGGCAUAUGGUUAUCCUUUUUUGACAAAGAAAACUUACGUGCACAUCUGUCAGAUAUUGCCUUGUGGCUUUUCUAAGCCCGUCUCGAGCAGCCUGGAUGUAUGCGUCGCCCGAGCUAAAGGCAUUGAAUGCCUCGUCCGAGAACUUGGGGUCUUGUAAAACAGCCAUGCAGCGCCGAUGAUUCAUGGCGCUCUCUACCUUCGAGUUGGUGACGGACAUAUUGUCCGAACACUCGGCCGACGGGCAGUCCGGCGUUGUUCCUACAUCGGCCCCCGUCUCCCCGGUUGGAUCUAAAUCCUGGUUGUUGGGAGCGCGGCCGGCCGGGCCCCCGGAUAUAGUUCGGCGAACCUUUUUCCUGUAUCCAAACAAACUCACAAGUCACAGUCGGGUAUCGUCGCUGAAAAACAUAUUUUUCCGUACCUCCUCAAUGAAGGCCCGGCUGGGUUUUCACGGGCCUUCCUCUUCGAAGGCUUGCCCGGCGCAGGAACCGAUCUCUUUGGAAUCGCCGAACGCCUCCCCUGUGGAGCACGAUACAGUGUGGUGGGUGAGGCAGGAUAAAAGCACCAUUUUAGAGAAGGCGUUUCUGGAUCACUCACAUGUGAAGCAGGGAGAAGGCCAGGGUAGUCGGCGGUGAUGGCCACUUCUGUGCCGUCAUAGCUCGCCUGGUAAAAUACCCCCUCUGCGAGUAUCACGAAUAUGUCCGGAUCCUCUUCAAAUCCGGGGUCACGCUCCCGGUUGUGGUUCUCCGGAUGUGGGGCGGGACUAUAAAGUCCUUCGGUGACCUUCCGCCAGUGCUGUCAUAACAGACGGAUUUGAAAUUUAUCAAAAAUAAUCUGGAAGCGAAAUGAGUGAAACAGAGGGGUUGAGGCUUACCCAACUGGGAGGAUUAUACAUAGAAUACCCAUCUCUGCGCUUAAUGGGAAGAAAUUCCUCUUCUUCUCCUUUAAACAGCUCGGCCAAUAUCUUGGCCAGAGCGGCGGAGGUGUCCGGCCCUUUUCGGCCACAGCGGGAGGCGUCAUCCUCUCCGUUAUAGUGCCACAUUGGCAGCCCUCUGUAUUGAAGCGGCUGAACCCCUCGCACUAUGGAAAUCGCCAUAACUUCGACUAUUGUAAGUCCGGACUGAGCGAGCGUCUUUAUCUUGUUCGGGAGCUGACGAACUUCAGCGCUGUCAUCCUCUUCAAGACUCCGGGGACGCCAACUGUGGCGUUUCUUCAGCGGAACACUUGCGAAUUCAGGAAGACCCUUUCGAACCGGGUUAGGGAGUGCGACGUCCUCAAUAUAGAACCAUUCGGAAGGCCAUUCUUCAGAUGCCUUCCUGGGUGUGUCGGACGGAUAUCCGGUAUCGGUGAUACGCCACACUUCGGCUCCGCCCACUUCAAAUAUUGACCCCUCAUGAUUGCGCGGGACAAGACAGAACAAUUUCCUCCACAGCUCAAAAUGGGCUUCAAUGCCCAGGAAGAAUUCGCAUAAAGCGACAUAACCUGCAAUGUGCAGAAUGGAGGCAGGGGUGAAGUUGUGCAGCUGGAGGCCAUAGUAUUCCAGAAGCCCUCGGAGGAACGGAUGGAUGGGAAAUCCAACACCUCUUAGCAGGUAGGGGAUGAAACAUACUCGCUCUCCCCCGGAUGGAUUGGGGAAGUCCUCUGCCUGAGUCUCACCGUUGAAGAAGUCUAGCCCCGCUCGGACAGGGACUAGAUCUGCAGGAGGAAGAAAUCCCUGCGUUUGCAGCUUCGUCAAUCGGUUGUGGGACACCGAACACCUCUCCCACUCGCCUCUCUCUAGGCCAGAACGGGUGGAGGAGCGGGGGACGAUAGCCAUCUGGAAUGGUUUCUCUUAAACAGUCUCCGGGAAUUUUCUCUGCAUGGUGCCCAAUGGAUCUAGGAUCCAACCUCUUUAAUAGGCGCUCUUCCGUGCAUGGAUGGGGUGUUAUCUGCAAAAAUUACCUGACCUUCCACCUUCGCUCGACGCGUGGAAGACGAAGUUAUUUAAGGCGCAGAAGCCGAGGGGAGCGACAUUGGGUCAAUGGCCGAAUACUUUACUUGAAGAUCAUUAAAGGAGGAACCCGCCUUGCAAUGCCGAAGACAAUUUGUGUGCCGAACACCUCGCUAUUGAAGACUGGUUCGGGGGCUACUAAGGGAGUCCUGGACUAAGGGGUCCUCGGGCGUCCGGCCUAUUAUCCAUGGGCCGGAUUAAUGGGCUGUGAAGACAUGAAGGCCGAAUACUGUACCCGUGUCCGGAUUGGACUCUACUUGGCGUGGAAGGCAAGCUUGGCGACCGAUGAUGAAGAUUCCUUCUUAUGUAACCGACUCCAUGUAAACCCUAGAUCCCCCCGGUGUCUAUAUAAGCCGGAGGGGUUAGUCCGGAAAGGAUACACACAUUACCAUAGUCAUAUAGGCUAGACUUCUAGGGUUUAGCCAUUAUGAUCUCGUGGUAGAUCAACUCUUGUAAUACUCAUAUUCAUCAAGAUCAAUCAAGCAGGAAGUAGCACUACUAGAAAAAGCCCUAUUAGUGGCGCACCUGUUUUCGUUAGUAAUGGCGCACUAUAGGUGCGCCACUAUUAACACGCCACUAGUAACAGAUAGUAAUGGCGCACCUCUGGUGCGUCAUUAGUAAUCCAGAUAGUAAUGGCGCACCUCUGGUGCGCCACUACUAACCCUUAGGUGCUCCACUGGUAUUCCCUCUAAGUGCGCCACUAAUAGCCUUAUAGGUGCGCCACUAGUAAUAAAGGAAGGUGCGCCACUAAUAAGGGCUGAAAUGCGCCACUAGUAAUGUAUUUGGAAAACAAAAAAAAUCCAAAUUUACAGAAAACAACCUAUAAGGAAAAAUAAUUUAAAAACAAAAAAUGAAAUAGAAUCAUAAUUUUUAUUAUAGUAAGAAUAUUACAAUGUCUUUACAAGUAUCAAAUAAAAGAAAAAUUACAAGGAAAUAAAAGAAAAUUCUAAAACUAAUCUUCGAGUAAUCUUUUCUUCUUUUUCUUUACUUUAUCCCUGCAAAGAAUGAUAGAAAUAUGUGAGAAUGAACAUUGCAGAGAAGUGAAAUUGAGCAAUUAUUUGCAUCCGACAUCGAAGAUCUAAGAUACCUUGAAUCAUAGACAUGGGUCAUUUCAUGAAGCCAAGAGUCUAUGCCAUUCAGGAUGCAUAGUUCCCUGUCAGAAGAACUUAUUUAUUCAGUAAACACAGUCCUAAGCUUUUUACAUGAGACAAAACAUAAGGUACAUGCACUACACCACGGUCAAGUAUUGGUGACACAUCAAUCUGUCGGCAUAUGGUGUCUUUGCCGACACAUAAUUUGUAGCUAACACAUAUGCUGACAGAAGACUGAACAGUCGGAGGACUUGCUGUGGGGAAAGGCAUUGCCGACAGAAGUUCAUUUGCCGACACAUUUUGAGUCGGCAUACACCCUACCUACGCCCCUGUGCACAUACACCUACCUACCCCGACACAUGAUUUGUGGGCAUACACCCUAGCUACGGCGACAGACGGGGUGUGAACAUAGACCCCACUUUUGGCAACACAUAAGUUGUCCUGCUAGGUAUAUACCUUUGCCGACACUUGUUCUGUUUGGACAGGUCUAUACCUUUGCCAACACUUAUGUUGUCUAGAUAGGUACAUACCUUGGACGACACAUACUCUGUCUAGCUAGGUACGUACAAAUUGCCUACACUUAUUCUGUCUAGCUAGGUAGUAACCAUGGCUGACAAUUACUCUGCAAGAAUCUGUUUACCAGCAGAUAAAUUGUUGGAAAUGUAGUGUACAGCCAAACCAAUGAUUUGAUACAUAUACUAUAUACAAUGUCAAAUGCGAUCAACAAACAACAUCAAGAUGAACACAUAUUGGACAACAAUGAUGAUAGGUUCACAAACAUACAUAAAUAUAUAUUCACACAGGUUCACAAGCAUAGUUUGACCAUCCAGAACACACAAGUCAAAGGGCCACUAUUUGCUAGUCUGAACUAAUUCAAACAAUGGUCCAGAACACAUAAAUCACAUACAUGAGCACAAAGUUUCUACUCCAAAACACUUGAAGCACCAAAUGGUCCAGAACACACAUAAGAUUCAAGAAAUGAUUGAAGUUGGUUGGUCCAAAAUACUGCAAACAGCCAUAUGUGUUCCAUGACACUCCAAGUCCUCCUCACAUCCAAUGCUAGGUGUGGCUAAGUACCUGAAAAUAUUCCAUAUGAAUUUGUCACGAAAGUGCAAUCAUUCCAAAAGUUGUUCAAAGCUCAUAUGAAGAUUGUUAGGAUAGAGCGGCACAUGCUAGCUUAUACUUGAUUGUUCAUGUGAGAGUAACAUUGUUAUAUGGCCAUGAAUACACACAAAUAUAUUUGUUCCUAUGCGGUGAAGUGUAGUGUUGCGGGCUUCCUUCUCCACAGGAAUCAAUCACCACAGGAAACAAUGUUCUGCUAUUUUUGUCAACAUCAUUUGAUCAACACACUUGAGUUCCUUUUGGUUUCAUGUCCCAGAAUUAUUAGCAAGAGCAUUCCCAGAAAAUCUACUUGUGCAUAUAUGCUACAGAAAUGCUUAUGACGAGUAAAACACAUUCUCAAAAAUAAGCUUGGUAUGGCAACAAACAAACUAAACUAAUACAAGGGGAAAGGAUGCAGAAUUAGGAUGUGGCUAUUUUCAAGUUUGUAACAUAUUUGACCAAGAUCAGGACAUGGAUUAUCAAUAUGCUUCCGCAGAAUCGUUUCUUAAUUGAGCCGCACGACACCAUCAGAAUUACAAUAUUCUAUUCUGGAGCUCAAAAGUUCAGACUGGUGGCAAGUUAAUAAGCUAACAUGGCAGCUCUGUGAGUCUGCAACAGGUUAUAAAGGAUAAGAUGAUGCCUACAAACUUGGCAAUAAAUGCCAUAAGAUAGGAUUCCUGAUCAGCAAUAUUAUUUGUUAACAACUCAUAGUAGUAGUUGUAGCUUGUUAUAUUUAAGAACAGGCAGUAGUAGUUUAUAAAGAAAUGGGCUUGUCAGAUACUAAGAGUUGUAGGUUGUAAUAAUAUUUAAGAACUGGCAGUAGUAGAUUGUACUAAACUUUUAUAUGCUAUAGAGGAAACAUGGCUGGGCCUUAUGUAGUUAUGUUGCACUUCUUUGUACAUUGUCUUGACACAUUCAGUUUACUUGUAAUGUAUAAAUUAGAUGAAGAGAUACUACAAUAUCACGAUCCAUUGAGGAUGAAGCUGAGGUUACCAUCUAUGAUCUAUUUAAAGAGGAAAUAAAAAUCUAAAGCUUCAACAAGUAGAGGCAACUGCUGUUAGUACCUGCAACUCCUGGCACAUUAGUUGUCUUCUUGGCAUCUUUGAUCUGCAACAAGACAACAACAAUCAUUACUCUUUGGUCUGAUUCCCAAAACAACUGAAAAAUAGGCAUUCAAAAAUAGGCCUACAUGUAAUUAUUACUAGUACGAAUGCCGUGCUACAAUCUUCAACUUCAGUAUCAAAUAUACUGUCAUCAGAGACGCCCGAGUAGUUCCGCUGCACUGAGAGCGCUCUGCUGAUGUUGCACAGCACGGCCUGCUCGUGCUACUGCUCUUGCAUGCUCGGGCUGUCGGGCGUCCGGAAAGAAGAAAAAUUGUAGAGCUGCGACAGCAGCAGCUUCAGGUGCUGAUGUGCUCUUGAGGAAUCCUUCCAUGUUGGUAAAUUCAGUCUCCGGUCUCUUAGCAUAGAUAAGAUAAAUAGCAAUUUCUUAGUCUGUGUUGCUACUCAUUAAUUCUUUUAGACCACCGAUGUGGUUAGUAAAAAGAUCAAAAAGUUCAGCAUAACUCAGACCGAUGUGGAUAGUUCACACGGGUUAAUUUGUUCUUUCAUGCGCACAUAUUAAUCAAAUAAAUUCUUCCAAUCUAGUUAAUUGUGCUGCUGGAUUUUGGUGGCCAUUCUGGAUGUAUAAAUUUGUUGUGCGGAUCUCUAAACUAAUAUGGAUCUGUUUACGAACUAUAACUUAGCACUAUAUCAAGUUCUUGCUAUCAGUUUGAUUUUGGUGGUCCAAGUGGAUAUAUACACGAGUCAUACAGCCACAGUCUGCACUAUUUGGUUAAUGAGAACGGAAGGAGCACAACACUGACCCCAUCGCUUAUCUCAGCCAGCUUCAGGUCCACCAUGGCCACCUACACCGAGCGCCAUAUCACGUCCCCGAGCUUCGUUGUCGACUCAUCUACACCAACCCAAUCACCACAAACAGAGAUAUCAGAAUAGUUCAUGACAUAAUUAUACCGCUUAUGAGUUGGGGAAAAAGGAAACUUUGAUGUACCUAGGCUUAGACAACCACGUUUUGUCCAUGAUGCACCAUUAAUAUCAAAUUUUCCAAGUAUCUGAAUUUGGCUAGUGCGACAGUGUUAGUUUUGCAUCGGUGAAGCAACAAUCAUUAUUCAUUAUUCAGGCAAAUAGCAGUACAAAACAAUCAAGCAACAGAAACACAUUCUUGUCCGGUUGUCUACUGUCACAAGCAACGACAUAUGAAUUAAGUGCAGCAGUACAGCAAAGGAAAACUUAGGAGGAGUUGACGCUUACCUCAAGGCACGGGGACGGCUGGAUUCGGGAGGGGCACAGCUCGAAGGAGAUGGAGCCCCGGCAGCAGGUCCGGUAGCAGCGUAAUGAGCCUGGAGAUGGAUCCCUGGCAUCAGCAUGUCCGGCAGCAGCGGGAGGCCAGCAAUGGAGCCCCGAUAGCAGCAGAUCCGGCAGCAGCGGGAGCACGACGAUGGAGCCCCGGAGGUAGCAGGGAUGGAGAUUCGCGAGGACGACGGCUGGAUGUCAGGAGGACACGAGGACGGCCGUCGGAUUGUGGAGUGCGAGGACCGCGGCUCGAUCUCGGGGAGAGGGGGCAGAGUGCGAGGAUGGGUGGAUGUGGGGUGGAGCUUGGGGGAGGGGGGUGCGACCUCCGGGACGACGGCUUGACGACGGGGUCGAGCGCGAGGCCGGCGGCGAUGGCGGCCGGACUUUGGAUCGAGCGCGAGGCCGGCGGCGAUGGCGUCCGGACUUUGGAUCGAGCGCGAGGCCGGCGGCGAUGGCGUCCGGACUUUGGAUCGAGCGCGAGGCCGGCGGCGAUGGCGUCCGGACUUUGGAUCGAGCGCGAGGCCGGCGGCGAUGGCGUCCGGACCGUGGAUCGAGCGCGAGGUGGGCGGCGACAGGGCACGGGUUAGGGUUGUGGAGUUGUUCGAUUUGGGGAUUGUUUGCUCGGG